rnacentral:lncRNA from 1 species
UUUUUUUUUUUUUUUUUUUUGCUCUCCUUGCUUCAACUUCCUGGCAUGAGAUGGCAGUGGACAUGAAGUUUGAUUGGUUAACAAUUGCUGGAAAAUUUUCUGGUAAAAGGAAAUUCAAGAAACAAGUUAGUUUCCAAUGACAAAUAGGAUUUGGUCAUUGAUUUCUUUUUUCGUAUGGUUUCUAGGCUAACAUAAAAAUUUCCUAUAAUUCUAAUAUGAUUAGAAUUAAGUUAUUUGCUGGAAAUUUUCUAGAAAAGGAUAGUAAGGCAACUAGUUAAUUUCCUAUGAUAAAAAUGUUUAGUCAUUGGAUUCCUUUUUCAAUUUAGUUUUCUAAACUGACAUGGAAAAUUCCUAUAUUUCUAAUAUGAAUAGAAUUAUGGUAUUUUUCAGAAAUUUUAGAAAUCCAAGUUGGACAAAAGUUGUUCAAUUCAGUUUUGGACACUUCCUAAAUUUUAUUAUGACUAAAAUUAAGAAAGUGUAGCCAUCUUUAGAAACUUCCAAAUUUGAUGAGAUUAAAUUUGGUAAAUAUUCAAAUACUUUUAGAAACCUUCUAAUUUAAUGAGAUUAAAUUAGGAAAGUGAUGUAAAGCUAGUGUUUGAAAUUCUAAAAUGGUUUAAAGGAAAAAUUCCAAAUCUAAGUGAACUAGGAAAUUCUAGAUGGACAAGAAAAUCCUAAUUUUGACUUGGACUCAUAAUCAGAUUCUGAAAAAUUUUUGUUCGUGCUUUUAAAAGAUUGGAAAUUGUUCUAAUGAGAUUAGAAAGUGUUUUCCAUAAUUUUAAAAUAAAUAAAAGGAAAACUUCAAGAAUUGAAACUUUAAAUGAUUUAAAGCUUGAGCAUAUAAUGAUCCAUGAUUACAAUCAAAUAAAUAUUUUAUUAUUCUUUCAGUUAAUAUUGUAUUAUAUGAAUGUAUGAUGGAUGGUUAUGGACUAAGACCACUAUGAUUGUGAAUGGUUGAAUAUAUGUGUGGUUUGGUUUUGGUAUUUUUGAAAUAGGGCCUGCCUGCCCUACCUUUUCUUAAUACUCUUAAUGUAAAUACUCCUCUCAUCUCACUCCCCUUGAAUGUAAUUCAAUGUUUCUCUGAAUAUUAUGUAAUGUAGUAGAUUAGGGAUAGGGAGAGGGUGAGGAUUUAAAAUGUCUAUAGUAGAUUUACGUUUGUAAUAUACAAAAGAGAUGGAGAUGGCACCAAUUCCACCAUGGCGGAUAUAGAAAAGGCAUACACGGCAUGGACAUGUCAUUUGUCCCUUAGUUUGACUAUCAACUUUCCUUUUGGCUCAAGAAACCUCAUUUAGGAAUAAAGUCCAUAAUCAUCCAUAUUUAAUUAUAGUAUGUUUAUUAUUAUUUAUGUUGAUGAAUGGAUAUGCAUACUAUAUUUUUUUAUGAGAUCAAUUUGGAUGUAUUAUGUCUAAAAUCCCUCUACUCAAAUAUUAAGUCAAGAUUUAAGUUGCCUUCCAUUAUUAUUUUUAAAAUGAAAUCAUGUUCGGAUUAAUUUGUUGAAUACACUCAAGGUUGCUCUACUAUGAGGAGUUUUAACUAUGAGAUGAUAUCUCGGAAUAAUAGAUAUGAUUUAACUAAAACUUGUGUCUUGUUGAGUACACUCAAGGUCAUAAAGUUUUAGAGGCAAAGGUUGGGUAACACAUAUAAUAUGAUUUAUCAAGAGCUGAUAACUCAACUAUCUAGAAGUUACAAGAGUUGUAAUUGGCAAUAAGUACUUACCUGUUGAAAUUAUUUUGUUUUGUUGAGCACACUCAAGAUCAAAAUAACUAAAUGGGAUUCUAAUCCACUAAAAUUUUUUUGAAAUUCCUGAAUCUAUACAAGAGGGUUGUAGAUUUGAAUAAAAUAAAGGAAGCAAAACCAAACCUACUUUUGUGUUUUUUUUUUUUACUUGGUUUUGUUUUUACAUAAAUAGCAAUUCUCUUUUAUCUUCACUACCUAUUGUAGACAUUAUGAGUAAUUGAAUAUUAUUCUCAAUAUAUUUAAUAUUUCCAAUUUCUUUGAAUGGUAAAGCAAUUGAGAAAAGUUCUCAAGUAAACUUGACUAUAUUUUUUAAAACCUUAAUUCUCCCACUCAUGGGAGAUGGAAUGGAAUUAAUAGUAUAUGUUUAUAGUAAGUAUAAAGGAGAUGAUGAUAGUAUAUCAUAGAUGCUUCCUAAAUCUCCUAUGUUAGAAGGCUUUCACCAUAAUUAGACAUCACAAGGAGUUGAAUGAUGGAUAAUUAAGAUUUAAAAUAUAUGAAAUUCUUGAACAAUAAAUUCAUCACUAGAGACAAAUUUUCUCUAAAUAAAUAUUGAUUUAUUAGAGAAUGAUUGGUUAUAUUGAAAAAUUAGUUUAAUCAAAUUUUGUCAUGGACUAUAAGUCAAGUGUUGACUAAAAGGAUAUCACUUAUCAAGAGUUGAUAAGGUGAAUCAACUAUCAAGAGUUGAUAAGUUAAAAGGUUUUAAAGAAUAAGCCUUAUUGUGCGAAUUUUCAUUGCAUGGUUUUAACUUAACUGAAAAUGAAAUUUUGAAAGGUUUUAAAGAAUAAGCCUUAUUGUGCAAACUUUCAUUGCAUGGUUUUAACUUGAUUAAAAUGAAACUUUGUGAAAGUUUCAUUUUCAGUUAAGUUUAUAAUUGAGAAUAACUAGUAUAUUUACUAAGUUAUGUUCCUUGGCAUAAGAUACUGCAUAUUCAACGUAUUAGGAUUUAAAAGAAGUAAUUGAGAAGAAGGAUAAUAAGUAUCUACUUUUAUGAAGUAAAAGUUACUUCAUUAAGAUGUAGCAACAAAUUAUCUUUCUUAAUCUAGUGGACUUAUUUUAGAAUUUAAUAAGUGUUAUCAAUUUCUAAAAUAAAAGAAAGUCCAUUUCUCAAUAUUAUGGUAGAUGAAUUGAAACAUCUUAUCUUUGGCAUUUAUGAAUUUAGUCUUAUGACUAAGAAAGACAUUUUCAAAUUAUAUGAUUUGACUCAAUUGAUUAUGAAUCAUUUGAGACAUGUGAAUCUUAUUCAUUAAUAAGAGACUAAAUUGGCCUUUUAUUGAAAAGGUUUAAAGAAUUGUUAAAAUUCAUAAUUUGUAAUGUAUGUGGAAGAUUAAGAAUUCAUGCCAAAGAUGAUUAUUUCUUAUACUUUAUUACUUUCAUUAAUAACAACUCAAAGGAUGGAUACAUGUGCUUUUUGAGCACAAAUCCAAUGCAUUUGGGAAGUUAAGGGGUUUGAGUAUAAAGUAGAGAAAUAAAAAGGUGAAAAUAUUAUAACACCUAGAUAUGAUCCAUGGUGAAGUAUUAAAACACCAAGAUUUAAUCAAGGUGGAGAAUACUUAGUCUGAGCGUUCCAAAAUUGUCUAAUGAAGAAUGAGAUUCUCAAGUAAAAUAAUUCUUUCUAGAUAUCUUGAUUAUUAUUCAGUAAUCUAAAAAAAGAAUUAUAUCUUAUGAGAUAAGAUACACCAUGCAAGUUUACCAAAAUAGUUUUGGACUUUGUCCGAAACAAAUUGUUUCCUAUACACUAAAUCUUGUUCCAUAUAUAUAUUUGUACAAAAUAUACCAUAUGAGAUAUAGACUGUCAAAGAAUCCAAAUUUUGUGAAAGAUUGAGUUACCCUACUUAUGAAGUAGGUAAUCUGACAAGUUGGAACUAAGAUCCGUUCAAAACCUUUUGCAGAGUGUUCUUGAGAAAGGAAAAGGAAAAUCAACCAAGAAGAAGAGCAAAUUGGCUCUCUCUGCUACAUUGGUUUGAUUUCUUCUAAUUUAGAAGUUGGAGUUCCCUCAUUUUCUCCAAGAAUGCUACUUCUAUUGUGAGAACUCGCAAAUUUCUUAUAUUUUUCUCAAAAAUGCCUUUUUAUUUAGAAAUUAUUCAUUUAUUAAAGCUCUACUACCCAAUCAUUUCCCAAUAAGUGCAAAUGAACCUAGAAAGUAGGGUUUUACUCUUCGUUUUCAAGAUUGGAGCAAAUUAGAGUUUUCGCGAUUUUUCGCCGGAUGAUUUUUCGGUACGGAGCAAGGAUCAAAUUUGGUGAUUAAGAGUGACUUUUAGGUGAGAAAUAAUAUGUGAUUAGGAGCAAUGACAAAAAGUUAGUGAUUGGGAAGAAAAAACCCUAGUACGUGUGAUUUGAGGAAAAACGGUGCGAACCGACGUGUACCCCGUACUACCGAUUGAACGCACCACUGGACCACCACUUUCUUACCACAUGAGCUCAUUGAUAUUUGAGCAAAAUAUCUCCUUAUUUCCAGCUGCCUUUGACCGAAAUUUGUGGCAAAAAAUGCAAGGGAGAGAGAGAAAAUUUUGCAUGCCUUUGGUGGUGCCAAGUGUCACCACCUCAUGGCUCCUUGAUUAAUUUUUUUUUCUUGCCUUUUUAUCCUUCAUUUCAGCCAUCUUUCUUCUUCAUUUUUUCUGGUCUGGCCGAGCUUGAGAGAGAGAGAGUGAGAGCAAGAGAAACAACUUCAAUCCAUCUUGAUUUGCACCAUCCAAGUGAGGAACCAAAAUUCUAAACCGAUUAAAGAGUGAGUUGUGAGCUUGAGAAGCUAGGGGAAACACGAAUUCCAAGAGGAGGUAAAGUGUUACUCUUACAAGCUUUAUUUGUUGAGGUACAAGGCUAAACCAUGGCUUUGGUUCUUUUAUUCUGGUUUAAGUUGUUAUAUAAUACUUGUUUUGGUUGGAUUAGUGGUGAUACAAGUUGUUAUGAUGACUUAAAGGUGAUUUAUGUGAGUUAGGGUUUGAGGUAUUUUCUGCCUAUACUUGCUAUAUGGAUGAUAUAUGUUGUAUUUAAGAUUAUAUAAGUGGUUGUGGUGAUGAUUGGAGCAAGAAAUCAAGAAAGGUUACAUUGAAUCCCAAAAUUCCAGGUUUCUGGAAAAUUUUAGCUCUAUUCUGUCCGGUUUUAUUGCACCAUGUUAGAGGCCGAAUAAGGCUUGGUGUAAAACAUGAAAGUUGUAUAGAAUGGUAUUUUAUAGUUUCCUACAAAAUUUCAGCUCAAUCGGAGCAAUGUAACCUGUGAAAAGACCAAAAUACCCUCACUAUUUUAGGAUGUUUCUAGUGUUCCGUUUUAGUCAGUUCAUCCAGUUUAUCAUGUUUAUUCACUAUGAUCCGUUCAGAUUUAGCCAUUUACCAAAACAUGAAAGUUUUAGUACUCUGCCUUAGCUUUUCAACACCACCAAGAACACCUUAAACGAACCUUGGUAGACUGAGAUAUGGCCAUUUGAAUGCAGUACAGUUAAAUAACCAAUUAGUUGGAAUUAGGUUAUGUGAAUUAGAAAUUUGGUUAGGUUACACUGGAAAUUGGACUAAGUGAUCUUCAUGAACAUUGGAGCCCUGUGUCUUAGAUUCGAAAUGGUAUAAGUUGCACCUCAAUCCGAUAAGCGUAGCCUCGGAUGUGCCCAUUCCGCAAAAACCCGUCGAAUCUGUCUUUUGUAACUUCAUUUCCGCACUUUAUAUUAGCUUAAUUUUUGUUCUUGUAUUGUCUUGAGCCUAUGGAACAGCUAUUGAAAUGAAUUUGUGUUGUGUGUAACUUUGGGUUGUUUGUGAAAAAUAAUGAAGCCAUAAAUUGCUGGAAAAUAGGAAAAUACAAAGGGCAUGCUGCCCAAAUUUUCGCUCGAGGACUAAGUUUCUAUUUGAACUGGUAUACUUACGUUUGGUCUAUGAAACACUAGUUAUUUUUGUCCACAGUUCCAAAUGUCCUCGUUUCACUCUAAAGUCUUUUUAUACGUUCUACUCAAUAAUUGUCAAGUUUCUUUGAUUGCACCUAAUUGUUGUGCUAGAUGAUCUGUAAUAUUCUUUCUCGUUUAAUUUAGGUUUUCUCGGUGACUGAGGAUAAUAUCCGGAAGGAUAUUUUACCCGUUGUUUUGCGUACAUAGGUGAGUGUUUCUUGUUUGUUAUAUUCUCCUUGACUUCAUGACUACUUGUUGUUGUUUGAUAAUGUGUUAAGUGUUUUCAAGGAUUUCUAAAACAAAUUUUCUAGGCGAGCGUGUACUUUAUCGCGCUCGACCUAAAUGACAUGUGAAAUUUUCAAUGAUUUAACGAUUGAAACAUUAGUUGCGCAUGAUGUAAGCCUUUUGGCUGAACUGGGCCCUGCCCUUCGUUACCGAUCGACUCGAGCCAAAAGCGGACUCGGUCGGGCGAUAUGGUGACCCUGGGUGAAUUUGGUAUACUCGAGUAUUACCUUGUAGUCCGGCCACGUCCGGAUGGGUGGAGUCCAGCCUACGUCCGGAAGGGGAUGAAUGAACGAACGCAGGUACGAGGGUUUUACUUCUCAAAAAGGAAAUUUUCAAAUAAUUGGAGGAAUAAGGGGAAAUGUCAGGGGAACAAACGAACGAACGAAUAGCUCCAUGUGAGCCCGUAUCCUUUUAACGAAUGUGUUACUAUCGCUUUCCAUUGUAAAAAUUUCUUGAUUUAUUGAUACUCCAUGUUUAACGUAUUGAAUUGACUAUUUGACUAUGUAUUCGGAACCUCACUGAGCUUUUAGCUCACCCCUUUAGUUUUGUUUUCCUUAACAGGGGACGGCGAGCAGGAUGAGAGCAUAGACUAGCCUAGUCUAGUUCUUUUAUUAUUUUUUUUUUUUGUAAUGGUUCUCGCCCUAGUGCUUAGCACGGGCUGGACGUAUGAAGGAUUGAGAACCUUUGUAUAUUCGAUCCUUAUACUCUCUUUUGGGAUGGCAAUGUAUAUAAGUUCCGCUUUAAGUUUGGAUCGCUGCCCUAUUUAUUCUUGUGAUUUAUUCCGAUUUUAAUUGAGGACUGUAGUGAAUGACUGAGUCCCGGCGAGAGCUGGGCAGGCGACCCGCCGAAUCUGGGGUACGCCCUAGGGGGAGGUGGGGCCGUCACAUCUAUCAUUUCCUAGAAUAAAAGUAUUUUAUCUCUAAAAUUACAAUUUUUUAGAUAAAUGGUUUACUCUAGAUAAAGUGGUGGGAGUAAGAUAGAACUUAAAACUUGAAAGAGUUUUGAGUACCACGAAAGGAAGUUGAACAAAUGCAUGGAGUUGGAGCUUGCAUUUCAUCAUGAUAAGGCGUAGCAAGAGCUCUUAGAGUAAGGGUUUAAUAAGCCUUAGAAAAUGGAUUUCUUAUGGAAAAUCAUGAAGUCCAAAUGACUUAUGAAUUGUUUACAACUUUUGGAGAUGGCUAAGAAUCGUAAAUCCAAUAUGAAUUCCAUAUUUGAUAAAAGGUAUUGACCUUAAUCAAUCCACCUAAGGGUAUAAAAGACCUAUUAGGUGUUAACCAAUAUGAAAGGUAAAGUGUUACCUAUAAAGCUUGAUUGGUAGAGAGGUUACCAUUAAAGAUAAGUAAUUAUCUUUAAAGAAAUCUUCUCAUUAGUUAACAAGUUUAAAUUUAUUUAGAUUUAUUUACUUGCUUUAGUUAUGAGCUAUAGCAUGGCAAAUAGAUGUUAAAACCACUUUCCUUAAAUAGAAACAAUAAAUAAUGGUGUAUGUGACACUACAUAAAGGUUUCUGCAUCUUGUAUGCAAUGUUUUUAAACUUGAACCGAAGAGUGAUUGGAAAACCUUCCAAUUCACAGUUCGACCCCAGUUCAAAAUUUUAAUAAUUUUUUAUUCACUUUAGUAUUACAAAUUUUGAAUAAAACUAAAAUAUUUAUUUUACAAAAUAAAAAAUAAAAAAAAACUGGUUGAACCUCCCGGAUUUUACUGGUUCUUGACCGAUUUUGAUUGGCUCAAUUAAUUCUUUGGGUUUUUAAUUGAACCAGACCGGAGGCAUGAAUCGCAAACCAGCCGAUCCAAUCCGAUUUUCAAAACAUUGCUUAUAUGUCAAUAAAGCAAGUUUCUAAGAGUUGUAUAAUCUAUUUUGAUAAGAUAAUCAAAGAGUUUGAUUUUAUCAAAAGUAUGGUAGACCUUGUGAGGGAUCUAAAAAUUUUACUAUUUUUGAAAGGUAAAUAAUAACGAUGAAAAUAUUUAUAUUAUGUGAUUUUUGCCAAAAUUUUGGUGUCCUUAUCUAUUAAAAUGUCAUUUUAUAACUUAGUUGAAUUGUUAUUAAUAAUUGUCCGUUAUCGUUUGGCUAGCAUUAAGUGUGAAACUUUGGAGUGGUGACAUGGAAUUUAGUCUGAAAAUGAAAUCUAGAGCAUGUAGAGACUUUAAAGAAAUAGAAAAACAAUAGGAUAAGGUUGGUUGAGGGAAAUCUAGUUAAGGAUAAAAUAUCGCAUGAGAAUGCGGCACAUAAGCGAGUAGGUGAGGUGGUCCACCUACCACACUUUAAAGGAAGAAACUACACUUGAUAGUUCAUUCUCUCUCUUCCUCCUUGAGCCAUCCAAAAUUUAGAGAGAGAGAGAGAGACUUGAGAGCUUUCCAAUUCCUCCUCCAUUUUGUUCUUGAAGAUCACUUGGAAAACCAUCAACCACCACAAUUUUUCUUCUUUUUCUCCUCUUCUUGCUGAGCCGAGAGAGAGAGAGAGAGAGAGCCGAGAGAGAGAGAAAGAGAGAGAGAGAGAGAGAGAGAGGGGGGGAGAGCAACCAAGAGAGAAGGGACACCAUCCAUCUUACUCCUUGAAAUCACCAAACAACCUAGAAGAUUUGACCUUUCUUGAGGAAACUUGAAGGGUGAAUCUUCGAAGGAAGUUUUGAGGUUGAAUCACACUAGAUCUAGUUAGAUCUUGAGGUAAGAACAAAAAAAUCACACUUAAUCUUUAAUUUCUAGUCAUGAAAGUGUUAGAUUCACUUGAUUUAAGUAAGACCUAUGGCAGAUCUAGUAAAUUUCUUGAAGUUAUACCACUAGAUGUUCUAGUGGUUAAAAUACUAGUAUAGCUCUUAAUUUUUUGGUUGGAUUCACUUGAAAUUUUUCCAUUGAUAGCCAAGGGCUAAUGAUUGAUGAAGCCCUUGGGGAUUUGAGUGAGUCUUUGUUGGUUAAAUGGUUGUUUUGUUGGCGAAAUUCUUGGUGAAUUUUUGGAUGAGCUAGCUGAAUGAAGAGGGUUAAUUUUCAGACUUCAUUUUCAACAUUUUGUGUUCUUUUUGACUAAAUUUCACUCAAAUGACUUGGUAUUCGGUUAAACUAUGUUUAUAUGUUGAUUUGGAGUUGAAAGUUAGGAACUUUAAUGGUUAAAAGUCAUUUUUAUUUCACUACUUUUGGGCUAAAAACUAUCAAGGCAGCAAUGGUGAACUCGAGACUGUUUUGCCCUUGAUUUUGUGUUUUCACGCGUCGAAUUUUAGGAAAAACUAUUCUAGAUACAUAUUGUUUUCCUAACUCGAGCUUAUGUGUCGAGUUCAAGUGAAUUUGGUUUAGUUUCACGAAUAUUUGGGGCGAAACUUAUUGUCUCUUUUUACGUGUUAAUAGGAGUGAUUGAAGACUGUGAUACCGAUCCUAACUUGGAUUCUGAGCUUUGAUUUAUUGGUGAGUUUCCAUGCAUGUUAUCUGUCUUGAAUUUGCAAAUGUGACAUAGAUGUGAACUUGAUGUUAUGAUUGAGAUGCAUAGUAUUCUAAAUUGUUCAUGUGUUGUGAUGUCGCCUGGGUUGUUAUCCCAUCGACAAUUAGUGAUUGAUUGUGCAUGUUAAUUCUUGGGAAUUCCUAAAUCCUAUAGGUAAGUCUGUCGAUUCGAGCCAGUUAGGCCUAUCAACAGGCCGGGUCCGGGCCAGAAUUAAUAAAUCCGGACCCGGACCCGUCAUCCUAUAUUAGUACCUGAUUCGGCCGCCCAAAUAGCCGACGGGUCUUCUAGUCUUUCUCCCGGAACCGCACCCGACAGGUCCCGGAUCCGGGUCUAGCCUACCCGGAAAAAAGGCCCGUCAAAAGCUUGUUUUUGCUACAACUUCAAAAUGAAACUUUUCUUGCUGAAAAUUACAAAUGAAACAUGUUUUGUAUUAAAUUACAAAGUUAUUCAAAACCAAUCACAAAUUACAAAUCUAAAUCACAAACCACUCACAAAAGCCAUUAUAAAGCCAACCAUAAAUCAAUCGAGAAAGAGAAAAGAUUGAGGUAAACAAAAAUCGAUAAACAAGCUUCUGAUUACUCCCUGUAUGAACUCGAUAAACAAGCUUAGCUUAAUACGUGAAUGAAACUCAUAGGAGGACAUAUAAGAAGGACUAGUAGUGCCUGAACAGAAAAAAGGGCUUGUUUUGUGAAGCUUGACAAUCAAGAAAAAAAAAGCUAAAUUUGGGACCUGCAUAGAAAAAAAAAAAAAAAAAGAAAAACAGACCUUUUGUCAUUUUCUGGAAUUAAAUGACUAAAUGGCGGUUACAGAAUUAAUACAUCCAGCUAAGGAACAUAGAGAGAGCAAUAAAGGAACGAAAAGAUACGGGCUUUAAUGGGAGUUUAUUUGGGAUGAUGAGUUUAAAAACAACGUACCUUCAGGGAAGACUCAUGGGCUAGUAUCAAAAGAGAGCAAGCAUUGAAGCAAAGAAAGGCAACUUUUUGGACCUGGGAUUUGAUUAUUUUGACCAAAAAACAUCGAGUUAUUUCAAUGAUUGGUUGAACUUUGAAGAGGAACAAAUGAAUGGGGGAGUGGGAGUGGGAUUGGAGAACGAUUUUUUGUACUGUUUUGGGGAGUGUAGAGAAUCGACCAAAGAGAGUUUGAAGAAAAGGAAAGGUGGAGGAGGAGGAGAAAAAUGAGAGGAGAGACUGGGGAAGGGAAGAGAGAUAAGUAGAAAAGGACAAAUAUGGACAACAAAGCAUUGGGACUGGAGGAAUUCUCCAAUAGCUAAAGCAUUGGGAACUUGGAAGCUCAGAAAUGGCUUAUUUCAUUGAGAAAGAGAGAGAUUGAGGGAUUUUGUCUUGGAAGCUUGCCCAUUUGACGGCGGACUGGUGGAGGCAGAGCAAAAGAGAAAAGAAAGUGAGAGGGAAUAACGGAUAUGCGGUGGCAGGGUAUUAGGGUUGGAAAAAUUUGGGAAUGAAAGAAAUAGUAAUGUAAUAUUGAUAUGAUAGAUUGGUCUAUAUUUUUUAAUUAUUAAUUAAUUAAAAAGGGAUCGGAUAGGAUACGGGUCGGAAUGGUAUAUCAUGUAUCCGACCCGCUUUUUGUUCGAUAAAAUGGGUCCGGGUCCCGGUCUGGGUCGCGGAUCUAUAUACCUACCCGUACCCGAAAAAUGUUGGCGGGUCCGGUCCGAGUCCGGGUCUGACAGCCCUAGAGCCAGUCAUAGGAGUUGGUCGAGGAGAUUUGACGAGCCAUAGGAAAGUGUUUCAUAUUCACUGGACUUGACGUUUAGACUGGUCCCUUUUGAAGUGAAAACUAUGGUAUGCUCGAACAAUACCCAUUUUAAGUGUUUUGGAUUUCGGGCCCGGUAAGGAAAGUCGUUGGAAGGACAAUGAAGUAAGUGGAGUUCUACAUAAUGAUAAAACUUGAAAGUCGACGGAGUGUCGACUACGUGAAAUAAGAUCAAUAUUCGUGGACAUUAGCUCCUGAGAGCCACCCGUAUCCUACCCCUUGAUGUUGUUAAUCGCUUUCUUUACUCGCUUUGAAUUGUGAACUUUAAAGGUAAUUUGAACUACUCUAUGUAACUGUAUGCCUUUUUGGAACUCGCUGGGCAUUAGCUCAUUCUUUCAAUUUUGUUUUCCUUAAUAGGAAUUGAGAACCCGAGUGAAGCUGCUGUCAGUUAGGGUGUGACCCUGUUUCUUUUGUAUCUUGUUUUGGGUUGUUAAAUUUUGAAUUCGAUAUUUUGGAAGCUUGUAAGAUGAACUUUGAUUGUAUCUUAAGUACGUUAGAUCCUAUUGUAUUAGUCGGGUUGUAUGGUUAUGUUAUACGCUAUGGAAUUGUUAUUUAAGUAUUUUGGACGUAUUUAUUUGAUGGUAUGAGUGAGUCUUAGCACGAACUAGGCAGGCAGCCUGCCGAACCCUUUGAUUCGCCCUAUGGGAAGGUGGGGCAGUCACAGACCUUGUGUUAAUAUGUGAUUUAGUAGGAGCUAUUAUAGUUUCCUUGUUAUAUAUGUGGGUGACAUAUGAUACGUGGAAAAAGUAUACCUAUGCUCCAAAAGUAUAGGUAUAGCUAUUCAAGAUUUUCUUCAUGUUAAUAAGGAGAAGCAAUCUUCUCUUUAGGAGAAAAGAUCUAUGGUGAUAGAUCAUAAUUGCUAAGCCUUCCAUAGUACAUAGAUAAGAUGCUAAAGUAAUUUAACAUGAAAUGAUCUAAGAAGGGGUUUUAUCUAUAUUAUAUAGAAUAAUCCUUUCAAUGUACUAGGCUUACCGUCUCCUUCUAUCCAUAAAGGACUAAAAUUGGAAGUUCCAGAAUAUACUUGUAAACAAUCUUACAAGAUGAUUUGCAAGUAAUUAUGCAUUUGCUUAUAAUAUUGGUGUUAUGUAUUGAAAGGGUUUUAAGCAAAACACAACUAAAGUUUCUACAAUUAAAUUUUAACAAGUUGCUACUUGAGAAGUGGCAAAGGGAAGCAUUUUGAUGUUCAAGUUCAAAUAGAAAUUUGGAUUGGUUCUCUCCAUUUUAAAUCCUUUGUCCUAUCCUGUAUUGUGACAAUAAUGGAAAUUUGCCCUAAUAAAGAAACCAAAGUCUCAUCAAAGAUCCAUAGACUUGUUAAGGAGCUGCUAUAUAAUUUGGUGAAAUCAUUGGUAAGAAUAAAAGUGAAGAUAGAAAGAGUACCCACAGAUGACGCCAUGGUUAAUCCAUUUACUAAAGUUUACCUUAACAGAAACAUGAUGGUCAUGAAAGCUCAUUGGGUCUUUGACUUAUGAGUGAUUGGCUUUAGUACAAGUGGUAGAUUGAAAGUGUGUAUGUCCUGAAGUCAAUCAACUUUUAGGGUUUAAUAUGCACUUAUAUUAUUUAUGUUCUAAUAAAUGACAUUUUUAUCAUAUUGAUUGCUUGUAUUUAUAUAAGUAUGAUAAAACCCUUAGGGUAAACCUAAUUAGUGAAAUCAUAAGAGUUAUAAUGGUGAGAUUCAUUCGGUUAUAAAUGAGGUCUAUUUUUAAAUAUCUCUAGUCAAAGUAUUAACAAAAAAAGGAAUUGUUAAUAUAGUUAGAUUAGCAUAUACUAUGCCACUUUUAUAUGAGAAGUAGUAGACCCUAUCUAUUAUGGUGUAUGAGACACAUAAACUAGUAUAUGGGUGCUUGAUAGAAUGAUCAAGUUCAUUAGAUUGAUUCACACAGAGAUAUUUUUUAAGUGCUAAAGGAUUUAAUCUCUAAGUGACAUUUGUGUAAGUGAUCCUUAGACUUAAGGUUAUCAUGGUAUCUUGAGUACGAACGAACAUUGUGACGAUCCCACUUUUUCCUAAAGUGAACCACGGGGGUUGGCGGGCCGCCUGCCCAACUCUUGCCAGGACUCACUAACACCUCGAGGCAAUAAGUACGAGUAGAACAUUCAAUGACACCAAUAAAUACUAACUAUUACAAGCCAAAACGUUCAUCUCCAAAAUGUCUUAAUACAUAAUUCAAGGUUCAGCUUACAGCCCAAAAGUACAAAAUAUAAAAUAUAUCAAGUGCUAGCACGCUCACGACUCUCAAGAUGCUAACACUUUUACCCCUGUUAAGGAAAACAAACAUACAGUGAGCUUUCGCCCAAUGAGAUUCUAAGAAAAUCAUGCAGUCAAACCAACAAGAACAUUUUAUUCAAAACUAAUUCAAGAAAGAAUAAGACAAUACUUAAUGCACAAGUUAAGAAGUAACAAUCCAAUUCAACGAUACAAGGGCUUCCAAAAGCCAAAUCCACAUAAUUCGGACAUCUCGCAAGUGGUUGAUGCUCCACCAAUAUUUAUCAAACUAAUAACCAUAGAACACCAUUUUACUCCAAUUCCCAUUCACCGUUUCACCCCCUAUAUUGGGCCCACGCGCCACAAUAAACAGUGGUGAUAAUACUCGAGUAUACCCAUUUAGUCGAGAAGAUAUCACUCCACGCAACAAAACAGUAGACCCAGGGUUCGUUAUCUAAUCGACCAGGUGUGACGCCCCAGUCCGUUCGCAAGUCGAUAUUAGGGUUAUUUGAUAUUCGGUAUAGAAAAAAAUCAGGGUUUUAUGACUAGGAAGGAAACCCUAAUUCGGUUGAGCUUGAAAAUCCUAGUUUACGUAUUAUGAUUAUAAGGUUCAAGCUAUAAUUUAUAUUCGGUAUUCCAGUGUGUGCCUUGACAUAGGUAAAUAUAGGAUUUGUUUUAAUUACAAAGGUUUAGUAAGUUUGAAUGAUUAGCAAACCUCUAGUGUUACUAUAUUAGAAAGCUUAAGUGGAGUUUUAUUUAUCGCCCGCCUUUUUCCACAUUUUCUUUAUUAGAAAAGUUCCCCAGAUAAUUUUUAUGAGUAAAUAUAGUUUUUAGAUGAUUUUUCUAGUAUCGGUCAGAUUUGAGAAAUUAAGAAUAUAUAUUGGACGUGGGACCCACUAGUGCGAAAAGUUCGGAAAAAUUCUGUAACACCCCGAAUAUUAGGAGAUUGUUUGUAAAGAAGAUAUUAAAGAGUAUUUCUUCGGGUUUGAUUUAAAACCUUAUUUUAUUUUAAAAGACUAGAAACCCUAAAUGUUUAAUCAAAAACCCUAGUUUACUUGUGACUAACCGGUUUUAUUAAAUGUCUCACAUUUUAAUAGAAACCCUAAUUUUAAUUUCUGAAAUUGUAAAACCCUCACGUUUUCUUAAAAAUGCUCUUUUAUUUGGAAAUUAUUAUUUAUUAAAGCUCUACUAUCUAAUUAUUCCAUAAUAAGUGCAAAUGAAUCUAGAAAGUAGGGUUUUACUCUUUGUUUUCAAGAUUUGAGCAAAUUAGGGUUUUAGCGAUUUUUCCGCCGGAUGAAUUUUCGGUACUGGCCAAGGAUCAAUUUGAUGAUUAAAAGUGACUUUUAAGUGAGAAAUAAUAUGUGAAUAGGAGCAAUUAUAUAAGGUUAGUGAAUGGGAAGUAAAAACCCUAGUACGGGUGUUUUUAAGAAAAACGGCGCGAACCGGCGGGUCCCGCGCACUACCGAUUGAACGCACCACUGGACCACCACUUUCUUACCACAUGAGCUCAUUGAUAUUUGAGCAAAAUAUCUUCUUAAUUUCCAGCUAAGUCUGACCAAAAUUAGAGGCUAAAAUAACAAGGAUAGGAAAGAGAAAAAUGAAAGGUGGUGGUGGCGACAAGUGUCGCCACCCUAGAGUUUCUUGGCCAAGUGAUUAACUAACCUUAUUAAACCAAUUUUCUGGACUUUCCCCUUCAUUUCUCCUGCUGCUGGUCGACCAAAAGAGAGAGAGAAAGGGAGAGCAAAAGAAAAAAAUUCUUUCUUCUUGAAUCUUAGCCAAACCAAGUGAGAAAAUCCAAUUUUAAACCGAUUAAAGUGGAGGUUGUGAGUUGGGAAGCUUGAGGAACUAAGAAAUUUCUAAGGGGGUGAAGAAUCACUCUUCCAAGACUUGCUUUUGAGGUAUAAACAUCUGAUCAUGAUCCUUGUUGCUUUAAUCUUGCUUUAAGAUGUUUUUUUUAGCUUAAGUUUUGGCUUGAUUUCAUGAUUAUCCAAGUGGUUGUGAUGAAUUUUGGGAUGAAUAAGCAAGCUAGGGUUUCAGAGUUUCUGCCUAAACUUGUUGUGUGGUUGUAAAUGUUGUAAAUAAGGUUAUAUAAGGUUGUUUGGUAGUGAUUAGAACAAGAAAUUUGAGAAAAUUCCAUUAAAUACCAAAAAUUCCAGAAUCUGGAAAAUUUUCCCCAACUUUCUGUCCGGUUUUGUAACCCUAUGUUAGAGGCCGAAUUGGCCUUAGGUCAAAACAUGAAAGUUGUAGAGAAUGGUAUUUUAUAGGUUCCUGUAAAAUUUCAGCUCAAUCGGAGCAACGUACCAUGUGAAAAGACGAAAAUACCCUUGCUGUUUUAGGUUACCUUCCAGAAUGCCGCGUGGACAGUUCAGUCUAUUUGAUGGUAUUUAUUCGCUGUAAUCCGUUCAGUUUUAGUCUUGGCCCAAAACAUGAAAGUUUUAGUGCCCUGUCUUAGCUUUCUAACGCCUCAAAGAACACCUUAAUCGGACCUUGGUAACCUGAGAUAUGACCAUUCCAGUGCAGUGUGGUUAAAUAGCCGACUAGUUGGGUUUUGGUUCUGUAAAUUGAGGAUUUGACUAGGUUGCAUUGGAAAAUGGACCAAGUGAUCUUCAUGAACAUUGUAGCCCUGAGUCUUAGCUUCGAAACGGCAUAAGUUUCGCCUCAAUCCAAUAAGCGUAGCCUCGGAUGUGUUAUUUCCGCAACCAUACGUCAAAUCUGUCUUUUGCUAGGUUACAUUUCCACCCUUAUUAUCACUUUGAUUUUUGUUCUUAUGUUGUGUUGAGCCUAUGGAAUGGCUAAUGAACUGAAAUUAUAUUGUGGAUGAUGUUGGGUUGGAUUGUGUAAGGAUUGAAGCCAAAAUGGCUGGAAAAUUUGGUAAACACAAAGGGCAUGCUGCCCGAAUUUACACUCGAGGACUAGGAAACUAUACUUGUAACGUGAGUAAGGGUUAAGUGAUUAUCACUCGAACUAGCGAGGACCUUGAUGCUUUGUUAUCAAGGGUUAUAUGUUAGGACUUGGCCGAACUUGUACCCUUGAGAAAUGAAAUCAUGAUUGCUCGGAGUAUAUUUUCCUUGUACUUUCGACUCGCAUGGCAUUUUCAAGUAAAAAUGUUACAAAGUUUUACUGUUUAAAAAGCGAGCAAGUGUUUCACGACUACUCUCCAAGUGAAUUUCAAUUUCUUGAUCUUUAUUGACGAAACGUCUAAGUUUCGAAUUCUAGACAUGUUUCAAAGUUCUCAAACUGAGUUUAUCGCAGAUUUGGACUCCGAACCCAGAGUAUAACCUGAAAGUGACCAGUAAAGGCACUAUAUCUUGUGGUGAGUGCUUUCAAAUACUGAAUUGCACUAGAUACUUGAACUUGAUACGUGACCAAUAUGAGUACAUGUUAUAUACGUGAAUUGACAGGGCAAGAGUGUACUUUAUCGCACUUGCUCUUACGUGAUAUACUUGUUUAUUGAUUGCAAUUGACUUGAUAUACUUGAUGUGCGCACUUCCUGGAAUUCCAGAAACCCUGUGGCGAGUUACUCUAGUCGAGCCGGCAAGGGCUUGGUCGAUUGGGUAACGAACCCUGGGUCUCUUGUUUUGUCGAGUGGAGUGAUACCUCCUCGGCUAAUCGGUAUACUCGAGUAUUACCACCCAUGUUUAUGGAGGAUUUUGGGCCCAGUAGGGGGUGUGAAUGGUGGACGGAGAGUCGUGUAAGUGGUGCUCUACUGGAUUGGUUCCUUUACUUGAAAGUUGACGGAGUGUCAACUACUACGUGAUCAAGCUCCUGAUGAUGAAUGGAAGUUGGCUCCUGAGGGCCAUCCGUAUCCUUAUGCUUUGGAUUGAUUAUUGCUUAUUGGAUUAUUGUUGAUUUUGAAAAACUUUUACACUCGCUCAUUUUGAGAUUUCUACUUGACGUGUUACUGCUCACAUUUAUGAACUCUUCAUGCUCCUUACUUUGCUAUAUCGAAAACUUGUACUUAUAAAUAAUGGUCAAUUUGCUAUUUGGAACCUCACUGGGCUUUUAGCUCAUACCACAUUAUUUGUUUUCCUUACAGGGGUACGAGCGAGGCGUGAGAUAUGUAAAGACUAGCGUAGUCUAGUUGUUUGACUUUUGACUUGUACUCGCGCUAUUCCUCGAAUGGAACAUUUUUUAUUUGGAUUGUAUACGUUUUGAACUAGUUUAGGUAUAUCGAGACUUUGUACCCUGAUCUCUAUCAAUGUAAAUUAUAAGCUUGAAUUGUGGAUGUUAUUUAUGGUCCAUGGAUGUGUGCACGUGAUUUGAGUGAGUGAGUCCUGGCGAGAGCUGGGCAGGCGGUCCGCCAAACCCUUUGGUACGCCUCAGGGGGAGGUGGGGUCGUCACAAAUUCGGCCAAUUAGGUUAAAUUCCGGAUACUGUGUGAAAUUUAUCGGAUGUUAAGAGAUAAGUAGAGAGUGUGAAUUGAUUGAUGUGAGAGGAAAAGAAAAGAUAAUAUUGCAUUUAUGAGAGUGACAAGUGUCACUAUAUCAUUGGAUUUGAAUUAUGGAGCACUAUUCAUUUUUUUGACUUUUGACCCAUUUGAUUAAAUAUCUUUAAAAUUCACAAAAAAAUUACCAUUUCUUACCUCUUGUUGGCCGGCCACCUUGAGCUCAAGAAGGGAGAAAACCUCUUCAAGUUUUCAUUUCAUCUUGCUCCAAUUCAACAACUCAACCAACUAAACUUGAUUUCACUCCAUAAAAUCCCUUUAGUUAGUGCUAGUGAGUGAUUUGGUGAAGCUUUUUUGGAGAGCUAAGGUGUCCUACAACUUCCCCUCUCUUGUUUACUAGGUAAGUGAUGCUUAAACUUUCUCCUAUACUUAAUGAUGGUUAAUUUGUGCCUAAUGUGGGCUAAAGUGAUGGAUUAUGUGAAUUAUUUCUUGAUUUGUGAUGAAUUGGUGAAGUUUUUAUAUUUUUUAGGAAUUUUCUGGUUUAAUAUGAAUGUGUUGUUGUGGUCAUCUAUGAUGGUUGAUAAUGGGGGGGAAAGACUCUAGUAGGUGUGAAUUAGUGAUAAUUGCAACCAAUUUUGGGAUUGAAUUGUGGAAAGUUAGGGUUUUAUCACCCCUUAUUCUGUCCGGUUUUGGAUCAUAGGGUUAGAGGCCGAAUUGGACUUUCCUUAAAACAUGAAAGUUGUAGGUAUUGAUGUGUUUGAGGAGCCUGUAAAAUUUCAGGUCAUUUGGAUUAGUGUAGAGUGAGAUAUGUCGAUUUUACUGUGGCUGUUCUGGGUUGAUCAGGAUGGCAGAACUGCGUUUGUAUUUGGCUAUUUUGACUGGAAUUACUUUGGAUUUGGAUGUUGGUGUCUUCUGAUGAAAUAUAGAGUAAUGUCUUAGCUACCAUAUGCCUUUGGAAUCAAUGCAUUUGGACUUGUAUAGACUGAGUUGGACUCAUUACAGUAUUAUGUGAUUUGCAAACCUGUUUUGGUAAUUCUGGUUUCGUAUUUUGCAUAUUUGACCUAGUUGUGCUAGGAUUUGGACUGAGUGGCCUUCUACAUUGUUGUAGCCCUGUUUCUUAGCUUCGAAACGGUGGGUCUUACACCCCCAUCCGAUAACCGUAGUGAAUUUGGUGUCAUUACCGCAUAUUGAGGUCAAAUACGGUUUGUGAUCCUGUUUUGCGAUUCUGGUAUAGUGUCUUGCAUUUUUGACCUUGUUACAUUCAAAAUUGGAAAAAGUUUCCUUCUUCAACAUUGUAGCCCCUUAAGUCCUGGAUAUUCCUGUAAAUUUUCAGGUUAAACGGAUUAGUAUAUCCUGAGCUAUAAACGAAAUACUCAGACCUGUUUUGACCGUCAAAUUCUGUUACGUUUUUUUUUGGAAAGUUUAUGACUGGAACUUUGGCUUCACAUUUGACUGGGUUACAAGCUGUUUGGGCUUGCGACCAAAACACCAAACUUAUAGCCCUAUAUCAAAGCUUUCUAACGCCCUUGGAAUUUCAUGAAUCGGAUUUAUAAAACCUGAGAUAUAGCCGAGCAAACAAGGCCUGCCCGUGAAAAUGACCAUUUUCUGGUCAGAUCUGUUUUGGUCCUGAUGACCAAUUUCCGUUCCGAAUUUGAAUUGCCGACCUUCAUGUAAGUUGUUCCAUUUGGAAUGAACCAUCUAAAUGCCCAUUUUCAGCUCUUUUGACCAUGUGUAGCAUAGAAAACAGUUUGCACUCAAAACUGACCAUUUGUGCAUUGGCCAGAUUUCGUAAGUGAUUGUGUUUGGUUCAUUUGGGACUGAAACCUUCUGUUUCAGUUCUGGAUGUCUUCAUAACAGUUGUUUUUCAUCCUUUAAGCUUCGAUAUGGCAUCUCAUACGCCUUAAUCCGAUAUUCGUAGCUCAACUUAUGAGUAAACUAGAAAUGAGUGUCAAAUCUGCCGUUUCCGCUAACGGCCGUUUCCGCUAACGGCCGUCAUAUUUACGUGCGCGCGUGUCGUUUUGCCGUUUUGCUUGUUUUAGGCACGAUAGUAGCCGUUUGCAAUAUUAUGUGACACAAUCUUCUAUUUCAGACGGUGGUGAGUUGGGCGGAACUGGUGGGGCCCACUACUAGCUAUUCAUUUCGAUCCGAUUUCGUACUUUUGCUAUUUCAGUUUCUGAGUAAGUAUUCAAGCCAGUUUGGUGUGUUUUCUUUGCUAUGUGUUUGAGAUAUGUGAAAAGGGUACUUAGGCGAGGGUGUACUUCAUCGCACUCGACCUAAACCCUAAUUUGAAUGUAUAAUUGUACUUGGCAUAUGUAUAUGAACCUUUUGGAACCAAAACCCUUGAGCUUGUGGCUCGGGGCGACUUUCGAUUAAAGUUUGCAAAGUUUGUGGUUGAACUAUUCGAGCCGGUUAGGGCUUGGUCGAAGUCAGUCCAACUUAGUCUGAGGUCACCAAGUUUGUAGGUUCAUGUUAUGAACCAAUUUUAUGAAUCCGGUUCACCGAGAAGGUGACCAAGUUUGUGACCCGAGCUUGUGACUCAAGCUCAAGUUUGUGAUUUCGUUCGCCCGGGCAAGUUUGUGAGGUGACUGGCCAGUGAGGGUGAUAAGGUGUCGGUGGGUGUACAAGUGAAGUUCUACGGACCAUUGAGCGUGGUCGACGGAGUGUCGGCAGGAGAUCACGGCAGGAGAUCACGCAUGGCAUAUGAAUUGGCUUUGGAGCCACCUGUAUCCUUAUUAUGUGAUGUUACUUUUCUGCUUUUGCUUUACUCUUACUGUGUAACUGUUGUUACGUGAAAUUUACGCUUUCGCCCCUGUUUACUUACUAAGCAUAUAGCUUACCCCUUUCCUUUUAUUUUCCUUAGUAGGGGCCGACGCGGGGAAUUUUGGCUCGUAUACUAGUAUAGUUAGAUUGGUUUGUAAUAGUUGAACAGUUAGGAUGUUUGUUUUUGUUUUGGUGGUUUGUAGAAGAACCCUUCUUAGGGUCUAUCUUCUGCUGGUGGUGGUUAUAGUGUAUUAGAGUGGUUUGACUCGAGACUUUUGAAGAUGUAAAUAUAACUUUUGGGAUUGUAUAUAUUGUAUAUAGUGCUCUUUCGAUCCAUCUCAUUUUAUUGCUUUAAGUUUUGAGUCCUGGCGCGAGCUAGGCAGGCGGCCCGCCGAUACCCUUGGGUUCACCCUUGGGAGAAGUGGGGUCGUCACACCAGGCCCUUGCCGGCUCAACUCGAUUAACUAGCCAACAGGUUUUUAGAAUUCCCAACAUGCAAUUGUGUUGGUGGAACAACAACCCAACUGUGACAGCCCCACCUCCUCCUAAGGCGAACCAAAGGGUUCGGCGAAUCGCCUGCCCAACUCUCGUCGGGACUCAGUCGUUCACUCAAAUAAAUCCGAAAUAAAACCACAAGAAAGAACAAAACAAUGAUCCAAAACUUAAAACAAAACUUAUAUACAUUGAUAUCUUAAAAGGAAGUACAACCGUCGAAUAUACAGAGGUUCUCACUUUACCAUACAACCAGCCAGUGCCAAGCACUAGGGCGAGAACCAUUACAAAAAAACCAAGAGCUAGACCAAGCUAGUCUAUACGGGCUCUCGUCUUUGCUCGCCUUCCCCUAUUAAGGAAAACAAAACUAAAGGAAUGAGCUAAAAGCUCAGUGAGGUUCCGAACACAUAAUCAAACAAUCGAUCCAAUACAUUAAACAUAGAGCAUCAAUAAUUCAAGAAACAUUUACAUUGGAAAGCUAUAAUAACACAUACAUUAAAAGGAUACGGGCUCACAGGGAGCCAUUUAUUCGCUCGUUCGUUCGUUCUCCUGUCAUUCCCCUUAUUCCUCCAAUUAUUUGAAAAUGUAUUUUUGGUAAAUAAAACCCUCGUUCGUUCUUUCGUUUCAUUCACCCUCUCCUGGACGUUGGACAGGCUCCACCAAAAUACAAGGUAAUACUUGAGUAUACCAAAUUUUACACCCAAGGUCACCAUAUCGCCCGACCGAGUCCGCUUCUGGCUCGAGUCGAUCGGUAACGAAGGGCAGGACCCAGUUCAGCCAAAAGUCUUACAUCAUGCGCAACUAAUGUAUCAACCAUUAAAUCCUUGAAAAUUUCAUGUUUCAUUCAGGUCGAGCGCGAUAAAGUACACGCUCGCCUAGAAAAUUCGUUUUGGAAAUCCUUGAAAGCACUUAACACAUUAUCAACCAAUAACACAAGCCAUGAAGUCAAGAAAAAAAAUAUAGCAAACAAGGAACACUAACCUAUUUACAUAAAACACGUGCAAAAUAUCCUUCCGGAUAUUACCCUCAGUCACCAAGAACACCUAAGAUUCAACGAGAAAGAAUAUCACAAUUCAUCUAACAAACCAAGUAAGUGAAAUCGAAGAAAAUCCGACUAAUGUCGAGUAAAAUGUAUAAGGACGCCUUUAAAGUGAAAAGAGGCCAUUUGGAUCUGUGGACGGAAAUAACUAGGGUUCAUAAACCAAACGCAAAACUAAAUCCAAAAGGGUUAUAAAAUUCCAACGGAAACAUUUGACCAAGGACAAAUCAAAAUCCAAAUAGAUAGGUUAAGGAAAUAUUCUUUCUAAAUCGUUUGUGUGGCUAAAAGUCAAUUUAUAUUCAAGUAGAGGCUAUAUAGCAAAGGUCUUAAUGAAAAUCCUAUGAAAAAGGAGGACACUUAAAACCUUACUUGAAAGUAGUUCACUUGUGGCCGAGAAAACCCUAAUUCAUACCUCUAUAUUUUUCUAAAGAGUAAGUAACCAUUUGGAAUUUUAAUCUAAAGAGGUAUCAUGUUUCAAAAUGGUAGAACGGUCAUGGUAUUUGCUAAACUCAUAUAUAUAUAUAUUCAAAUAGAAACAUAGCCCUCGAACACCUCUCGAGCGAACCGAUGAAAUUUUUAAUGAAAUACAUUCAACUUGACACAAAACACAUUUCCAAAACCAUUUUAACGCAUUCACAUGACAAGAAAAGAAACGGACAGCAUUUCCCCUUAAAUUCUUCAUUUUCUCCUUACAGUCAAAACCCAUCUUACAAGAAUCAAUCACAUUCGCACAUUCGAUUUAUAAACAAUAAAACACGUCCAAUUAGGUCGCAAUAUCCUUCAAUUAAAGCCAAUUAGAAGCUCAAAAGUCCACCAUUAGAAAACCCCCAAAUUCAAAACCCUAGAAUCGGAAAUUCACACCACAAGCGGACAUUUUCUGCAAACAACCGCAAUUAACGUAUAAAGGUCCCAUUUAACAUCAUUUUAAACCACUAAUCCAAGUCCAAUCCAUGACUAUCAUAUAAAAUCAGAAAAAUCCCCAAUAAAUCAGAAAAUGGUCCAACUUGACCUAAAACCAUGAAAUCAUCCACAAUACAGCAUCUUUAACCUUCACAAUCCACCAAUAUACCAUUAUUAAAACAAAACAAGAACUUCUUUAGCAACUCACCUUACAACUCCAGAAAGCUAGGAACUUAAAGCUUCACUCCCAAAAACAACUCCACAAUCACCUUCACCUCUCCUUAGCUAGCACUUGUACGGAGUAGUUUGAAAAUCUAUCGGUUAAAACUCAAGAUUUAAGUAGAAAUUGAAGUUGGAAAAAUGGAGAGUUUUUUCUUGUUUUCUCUCUAUGAUGCACGGUUGGCCAGGGAAAGAAAUGAAGAUAUUUUUGCUCCAAAACAAUAUAAAAAGAGAAGGAAACACGCGGUCAAAGUUGGUGGCUGCCUGUGCCAUGUCACAAUCCGGCCAGAAUCUGGCCGGAUUUUUGGCCGGAUUCUUGGCCGAAUUCAAGGCAGUAGCUAAAAAAUUUUUUUUUCAAAACCCCACAGCAAUCCGGCCAAGAACUGGCCGUAUUUGCGGCCGGAUUUCGCCCUUUCUAAAUUUCAAAAAAUGUUUUCUUUCCAAGCGCGAACGUGACGCUCAUCCGUUCUUCCAACAAGUAUAUAUACAUAGAUACAUAUAACCUCACACAAUUACACGUAAUACACAUAAUCACACGUUCAUAUAUAUGCAAUGAAACCCUCCUUAGAAAUGGAUAGCGAAUGGUUUUCUUUUCAAUUUUAAAAAAAAAGUGAGCAUAAACAAAAUGCUGGGAAAAAUGUGAAAAAUUUUAGGGUUCUCACACCAACCAACCAGUCAAAUAGUCAUAGAAGAACAGUUCACAAUAAAGAGUCAAAAGGACAACAGCCCAAACGACUAAUAGGACAAGUACAAGCAAAAAAGAGGGGUUGAGAAAGAUAAAGUACAUGUUCACUCAAGUCAAAUAUCAAUUAGUUCAAUAACAGGCAAUUUCACAGGGCACACACAUGUCAAGCAAGUAUGAAGUGCAACAUGCACCUAGAACACUCACCAUGUAAAGCAAAGCUCAAACGUCUGCCUCGAGUGCAAAUCUUGUGUUUACUUCCAAGUCCUAGAACCAAGUAAUUAAGCAUAAUGAGAUUCACUAUUCCAAACCACCAUUUAAUCAAAACUACUCCCAAGUCCCAACUUAGAAGUCCCAAGAUAUUCCUCAAGAUUUCCAUAUAUUUACGUCCCUAAAAGUCUUCCAAAACACAUGUUUUCAAGCUCAAUUCAUAGGAAAAUCGAUGUACAUGUUAGGUCAAUGGUUUAGGUAUAAUAUGGAGUGAAAAAUGUUAAAUUGAACCCAGAAAAGUGAAGGAAAGAGUGCAAAGGAAAAGAAUCAAAGUGACAGUUUUGACACCUCUCGACAUUUUGAGAUUAACUGGAGGUACACUUAUUGGAUUGAGAUAAAUUUUAUGGCAUUUUGAAGAUAAGACAUAGAUAUACAUUUCUUAUGAAAACAUCAAAAUUCAGUUCAUGCAUUUUCGUGAUCAAAAAUAGCAAUCACAGAGGCACAAGAAAGCUGUCGCAUCAUAUCAGGGCAUUUGAGCAGUCUCGGGAAAACGGCUAUAACUCGAUGUAAAAAAAUCAAAAUCGAAUGCCAUUGGUUGCGUUUAAAACUAGACUCAAAGAGCUUUCCAAUGGUAAAAAAAUUAGACUCUAAUUCAUUUUCAAUUAAUACCAUAAAAUCUGAAAAGUUGAUUGAAAAUGCUCCCUGAGUUUCAGUCCAUUUUACAAACUUUCUAACAAGAAAAUAAGGAAGAAAUUCAUAGUUUUGGUUCAAAUUCAACAUACAAGUAAAGAGUAAUGUGUUAACAAGUUUCUUGAAUAAGAACUUGCCCAAAAUUAUUAAGAAAAAGUGGAAAUCAAUGCUGGAAUAUCUUUCCCUGUUUUGGACAGCAAAGGCAGAAUUUUCCCACAAGAAUUUUCCAAACAUUUCUCUGUCUAAUCUUCCAAUUUUCCCAUAACAAAUCCAUGAACAUAUCAAACAAUAUAUAGCCAAGAUUGUUAGCAACAAAAACCAUGAAAAUUUGCACAAAAACAACCCUUAACAAAAGAUCAAACACUUGGUGAACAUAGAGAUCUCUUCCAUUUUCACCAACAAAUCACUAGAAAUAUAACUCAAAUCCUCAAGGGUUUCAUCAAUCAUUAACCCUUGGAUAUCAAGAAACAACAAUCCACAAAUUCUUGGCCAAAAUUUUCAAGAUCCAAACAUACAAGAGACUAUCAAGCUUCUAGUACCAAAACUUACAUAAAAAUUUCAAAUCCACUAUGGAUCUUCCAAGAUUUAACCUAAAUCCACUUGAAAUGUAAAAGAUUUGAGUAGCUCAUCCACUUCCUCUCCCAAAGCUUGAAGCCUGGCAAGGUUGGCCCAAGAAGAAAGUGAGAAUCUUCUCCUAGAAGCUCUAACCUUCAAGCUUACUCAAGAAUGUAAAUGGGUGGUGAAGAUCUUGGCUUGGAAGUGAAAUUUUUGAAUGAAAAUCAAGCUUUUCUUUCCUCUCUUUUGCUCUCUAACUCUCGGCCCUCUCUCUCUCUCUCUCUCUAUUUCUCUCUCUUGUGGAGCAAUCAUGUAAAUAACAACUAGGUUAAAAGAAAUGAAAGGAAAAGAAAGGCAAGAAAGCUUUUUUUCAGACAAGAUUGAAGAGUUGACUUCUUGAAUAGUGGUGCCACUAAAUAAAAUCUUGUGGUGUUUCGUUCCAAAAUUCUUCUCACCAAAUAAUCUUAAUAAUCUUCUUCAUCAAUCCCUUUUUCACUAAAUGCCCUCAAAUAACUCUCUAAAAGUUGCAUUCGCGCCACUCACGCACUUCACAUGCAAUAGUACUAAAAUUUAUGCAGAUGCAAAAAUCAUAUCAUUAGUUAAUCAAAUAAAUGAGGUGCAACUAGGUUAAAAUGAAGUAAAAUAGCAAGAAUUUUGAGUCAUCACAAACAUACAUUGUUUGUUACAUGAUUGCUUCCAUAACACGGAAUGCUCACAUCAUUAACAGAUAAGUGUAUACUUGAAUUAUGGAAAGGUAGUGAAUAACAACAUAUAAGGAUUUACCUCCUCUUAUGAAAGAGGGGUUAUCUUGCGUCUAGUCACUUAUAAAAGUAUAACUCGAAAUUCUUAGCGCAAAGUGAAAGAUUCUUAGAAAGCGCUAAGUACUAUUUCAUUGGAGUUAUAUUUUGGUACAAGAAAUGAGCAUUAAUCAAGUAAUGGAAUAGGUACAACUUAUUCCAAGAUUAAUGUGAGAUAAGUGUGGUACAAGGAUAUUAAUUACACGGUAAAUGUUCACUGAAAGGCGAAGUCAUCCACUUUACUUUUUCUCAUUAUUUGGGUGGUCAUAAUGCAUUGCUAGAUGACAAUCUUGAUCUAUAAGUAUAAGUUGAUUGAUUAGUGGAAUCAAUGAUAAAUUAAAAGGAGUUUUUAAUUUAUCUAAUUCUUAUUUAUUAAGAAUUAUUAAAAGGAGUUUUCAAGUGGAGAUUUGAUAGAUAAGUUUUAAUAACUUAUAGUUUAAUUUGUUAAACUUGAAGGACUUAUAAAAAAAUUAAACUUGAGAGACUUAUAGUGCAAAAAAGUUUAAGUCUUCCGAAUACAAAAAUUGCAUGUAUUAGAAUCAGGAAGCUAAAUCCUUCUGGAAACUGGUUUUAGGUUUCCAUAAGUAUAUGUACAACUUAUUUGUUUAUAAAUGCUCACUAAACUUUUGUUAACUAGACUGAUCGAUAUGCAAAUUGUCGUGUGAGAUUUUUGAGAAAAAUCUGGAGAGAAAAAGUACUCAAUAUUCAUCCAAGAAAAUAAGCGAAAAGGGGCAAGUUUUUCAUGGCAAAAACUAGGGUUUUUCUCAAUCAAUUUGUGGGAGGUGUCUUGGCAAUAGCUAGCACUAAUCUAAUUCGUCCUAAGAAGGUUUUAGUUGAGAAGGUUCGUGUGGAUUACUAUCAGAGGCCAGACAUUUGUGCAACUACGUCGAUCACUUUACCCUUCUGCAUCAAAUCUCCACUGAUUUCAAAAAGAUCUAUAUAGAUUGAGGUAAUCUUCUUGAACAACUCUUUGUCACUUAGAUUUAAUCAAAGGUCGAUUUACUAAAGGAAUAAAAAUUUUUAAAUUCUCUGCUGUACAUGUCUCUCUAUGAUUCCUUACAGAACAUAAUAGUUGGAUACUCAACAAAAAUUACUUUUAUAAUCUGUAUCAUUGUAACAGCCCCACUUUCCCCUAAGGCGAACCAAAGGGGUUAGCGGACUGCCUGCCCAGCUCUCGCCAGGACUACGGAUCAGUUUACGUCGAUCUAUUACGUUCCGGAACAUCCCAUUGCGCGUAAACAAGUCAAACUCACGAAAAUAAAAAAAAAUGAAAAUCGAAGCCGAAGAUGAAUAGUGCAUGACCCGUCGGAAUCCGGCCGGAAUCUGGCCGGAUGUCCGGCCGGAUUCCUGGCCGGAUACCAGGCAGAGAGUUGCCAAUUUUUUUUCAAAUUCUCCAAGCAAUCCGGCCGGCAAUCCGGCCAGUUUCUGGCCGGAUUCCUGGCCGGUUUCUGUCCAGUGCCUUUUGUUCAAAAUUUUCCUUUGGCCGUUUGAAACAUAAAUCAGUCCGAAAUUCAACCAAACAUCAAUUUAACAUACACACAUUGAAAUUCAACAUUUACAACCACAUUGGCAUGCCAAAUACCAUUCAUCAUGAAUAUACAUACUCGGUUUGCCAAUCAAAGAGAAUGAACCCAAUACACAAUAGGGUUUCAUUCAACAAGCUAAACAAAAGCCAUUUACACUAGCUCAACUUGGCAAUCGACUAUCCAAAUCAGUCCCAAAAGUAAUUAUAUCCCUGUAAGGAAAACAAAUGGAACGGGAUGAGCUAAAACCCAGUGAGUUACUACCACAUAAGCAGUAAAGAUCACAUAAGCAUAAUCUUUCAUUUCAAGUACACACUUAAGAAGUAAACAAGUCGGUAAAAGGAUACGGAUGGCUCUCAAGAGCCCGUUUCCACGCUUACAUUCUUGAUCCAAUCUCAUUGACCCUCCGUCAAUGUUUAAGAAUACCUGACCGUAGAUCUCACUUCACUCCAUUCCUUCCACCAAACAUACCCCAACCGAGCCCGCACUCCAAUUCAGUAGCUUUUGGUAAUACUCGAGUAUACCGGAACCAAGAGUCUCAUUACUACAAGGUUUCUCAGUACAGUCCCCGUGGUAUGUCACUUAUCACGACCAAACCCUUGCCGGCUCGAUCCAAAUGACCACCAAACGGGGUUGAGCUCAGUAAUACAGUGAGGUCGUUGGACAUCGUCCAAACAACACCAAAUCAGUUUUCCAAGAUUGCAAUUCAAUAACUCAUAUAGCCAGUGCAGUAUUUCAGUAUAACAGUAAGCAGUCAUGAAUGAAAUCACAAGGAGUAAGGGCGGUCAAGUACACCCUCACCUCAAUCACUUCCAAUAACCAAUUAAGCCUUCAAGGCAUCAAAUACACAUAGAGCAAAGCCAUAUUAUAACAAGUAAGUGAGUAGUAUACUCACUAAGCAAUUAAGUGCUAUGUCAUGCACUUCCGUCAGGGGAAUGUUGUGAACCACCGUCACGCCCUAGAACACGUAAGCAAGUACUAUGAGACUCAAUACCGAGCCAUAAAACAAUGCCAAUCACAACCCCAAUAGGGUUUUAUACACAUAUAUAAGCAUCAUAGGCAACCAGAAAUUAGGAAAGGGCUUUAACUUAGGCCUUGAUAAGAAAACCGGUUUUGACGUCAUAAUGCGGUAAUGGCACAACUCUCACUACAAUUAUCGGAUGGGGGUGUAAGACCCACCGUUUUGAAGCUAUGGAACAGGGAUACAACAAUGUAGAAGGUCACUCAAUCCAGUUCCUGGCCUAACUAGGUCAAAAAUGCCAAACACUAAACCAGAAUCACCAAAACAGGUUUGCAAAAUGCAGAAAACUGUAAUCGGUAUAUCUCAGUCCAUACAAGUCCAAAUGCCGAAAUUCCAAAGGCAUAUGAUAGCUAAGACAUUCAGCUACAUUUCAUCAGAAGACACCAACUUCAAAAUCCAAACCAAUUCCAGUCAAAAUGGCCAAAUACAAACGCAGUUUUCGCAUUCUGUCCAAAGCAGAACAGCUACAGUAAUUUCGUCAUAACUCACUCUACACUAAUCCAAAUGCCCUGAAAUUUUACAGGCACCUCAAACACAUCAAUACCUACAACUUUCAUGUUUUGAGCAAAGUCUAAUUCGGCCUCUAACCCAAUGAUCUAAAACCGGACAGAAUUGGGAUUUUAUGAACCCUAACUUUCCAUUUUUCAUCCAAAUCCAAAAUUGAUUGCAUUUAGCAACAAUUCACACUCACUAGAGUCAUUUUCAACCAUUACAAUUCAUCAUACAAGGCCACAACAUUCCAUUCAUAUUAAACCAGAAAAUUCAUCAAAAAAUGGAAAAUUUCACCAAAUCACUUCAAAUCAAGAAACAAAUCAUAUAUUCCUUCACUCAUGCCACCAUUAAGCACAAAAUAAGCAUCAUUAGAUGUAGUAAGGUGUUCAAGCAUCACUUACCAAGAAAUCAAAAGAGAGAGGGAUGUUGGACACCUUAGCUCUUCAAACAAACCUCACUACAACCCUUACUAGCACUAGAAGAUAGGAUUUUAUGGAGUGAAAUGGAUGGAAGCAAAUGUUUUUGGUUGAUUUGCACCAAGUAGAAGCUAGAACUUGAAGAGUUUCUCCUUCCUUCUUAAGCUUAGAGAGCCGGCCAACAAGAGAAGAAAAAUGGUGAUUUUUGUGCAUUUUUGAGAUAUUUAAUCCUUUGGUCAAAAAGUUAAGAAAGUGAAUAGUACUUCUUAAAGUUCAUCCAAUGAGGAGGUGACACUUGUCACCUCCAUAAAUGCAUUCUUAUCUUUCUUUCUUCUCUCACAUCAAUCAAAUCUCACUCUCUACUUAUCUCUUAACACCCGGUAAAUUUUAUACAGUAUCCGAAACUUAACCUUAUUGGCCGAAUUUUUCCGAACUUUUUGCACUAGUGGGUCCCACGUCCAAUAUAUAUUCUUAAUUUUCUAAAAACUCACCAAUGCUAGAAAAAAAUCAUCUAAAAACUAUAAAUUCUCAUAAAAUCUACCAGAAAAAUAUUCCUAAACCCGAAAAUGCAGGAAACAUGAAAUUAAGGGGAAAUAAAACUCUCGGAAAAGAUUAGGGUUUUUACGGGUUCUCACACUCAUUGCUACCUGUAAAAGUAACACAAAGUACCGGGCAUUGAAUGAGAUACAAUAUUUACUUCCAGAUAAACAUAAAUGCCCCCUUCCAUUUCCUUUAUUAUCAACCAUCAGCAAUGUGAACAGAGAAAAAUCAGAACUCUUCUUUGUCAGUUUGCUCCAAUUGUCCAGCUCCUAAAGAUAAAAUGACACGAAUAAUAAGUGCCAUAGAGGGCAAAGUUACAACAAAUAUGUACAUUAGUCCAACUAUAAGCUUUUGUUGCCGCAUAUAGUAAAUGAAAGUAAAUCGUUUAGUUUCAUAAGAAACCAAUAACAUGAACUCUAACUCAGACAAUGCUCUCCCACUCCCCCUAAGUCAUCCCUCAUAUGUGAGACAAAACAAGUAAUCUUUUUACUAAAGAAACAAGACCGAACAAAAUAACAGUCAUCAGUGUACUUAUCACCACAACUAAUUGAAAGGCUUCACAGGAAUGCUCAUAGAUUAUAUAACCAAUAGUCAAGCAACAAAAGUACUACCAAGGAAAGCUUAUAAUUAUUAUACAUGUAUAUAAUGUAUAUUUAAGUAUUUAAUGAAUUGUAACAACCCUGAAUUCUCUCACUUGACAAAUUUUAUAUCAAAAUCAAAUUAUAGUUCAAAUUAAAUUUUGACAUUGACACUAUCUUUUCUUGAGAACUCAGUAUGUAUCAACGAUAAGAUAAUAAUCCUAUAUGCAAAUGUUUAUUUGGAGCAUUAACCCAAAAGAUCAAAGUUUCCAACCAAGUACCCGAAUCAAUUUUAAUAUGUGCUAUACAAUUUGAGUUUCUCUUUUGCCUAACUGAGACAUGAAAGAAGACAGUAUUAGCAUCACCAUACUUCAUCCAAUUGAUGGACGAUUUUUGUCUCCAGAAUUCACCUUCAAUCGCCAAAUGCCUACAUAAAUUGCCCUAGCCUCAUUGAGCCUCAUCUUGGAUACGAAAUCUCUAGAAAGAUCAUAUUCCUUCUCCUUUCGAAUAAGCUCCUGUUCAAUCAAAACUACAUUCCAAGAAACAUUCCCAAAUUUUUGGUAAUUCCAACUGUUAAGCCUCCUUUUAACAGCUAUUAAUUUACAAAAGAAAUGGCCCAUUCCCAAGCCUAAAGCCGACUGCAACCAAGCUACUCGAACCACAUACAAGAAAUCCUCAUAACGAGUCCAAAUAUUCAAAAACUUGAAAGGAAUCCUUUUCACUAUUGUUCCUCCAUUGGUGCAAUUAAUGAAAAGAGAUCAACGAUCAGAUCUACGCAUUUCAUAAGUGUGACAAGUGAGUAAGAUUAAAAGCAUUUAACCAAGCAACAUUAGUUACAGCUCUGUUUAAGCACUGGCAAACUCUCCCAUUGGUCAAAGUAAAUUUUGAACCAUCAAAAGCAUGAGGAGCAGCUCCACCUACACGCUCCACUGAAGGAGAAAUAAUAUUAAAAUUCCCAAUAACCAGCCAAGGAUCCAACAUAGAAUCUGCCAAUAACUCCAUCACAGCCCACGAAUUUCUACUACCAGUUCUAGAGCACAUAGCAUACACAACGGAAAAGCAUAACGGCUGACUACAAGAUAAAGAGAUCUGAACAUGCACCAGCGCACUAAUCAGGUCAGGAUGAAAGUGAACAAUCCAUAAAAUUCUUCCAAAACAGCCAAAUCUUGCCACCAAUAAAGGACUUAGCUUCAUCAAAAUACAACUUGAUUUAACGAGGACAAAUGAUGAUCACCACACAUAAGUUCAAUCAAAGCUAAACAAAAAAUAGCAUGAGUUCGACAAUGAUAGGCAACAUAUCUCACUGAAUCCGUUUCAGUGUCACCUCUAAUAGUCCACAGUGAAAAUCUAAGAGGCAUAUAACAUUUCAACACAAUAUUUAAAGUAGUACUAGAAAUUAAAUGUGCUGAUCUUCGACUGAAAGACACCUGCAGAAAAUGACUAGCCUUGAAACAAGUGCACAGUAAUUUUUACAUGACCCUUCAAAGUGCCUGGAUUUGAUCUUCAAGAACGCAUGAAAUAUUCAAUCUCAAACAUAUAUAAGCACACGUUUUGAGUACAUAUGUAACAUUAAUUAUUGUAGAAUAUAUAGUGAAGUGAAGGUACUUUAGAUUUUCCAACCUUACAUUAUUCAAAAAGAACACAAGCACGACGAAUACACUCUCACACAUGAGAGUCACAAAUCACAAAUUGAAAUGAACGCACGAACAACGGGAGACAAUAUUCUGAAGACGAAGAGAACGAGCCUAGUUUGCAUGCAUGCAUGCAAGGGCUAAGGGCAGAUGAAGCCGUUAGGAGUAUUUCUACCGUAAUUGUUGAGAAUGAGACUGAGAGAAACUGGAAAAUUUAGAUUGAUCCCCAGCACAUUUGCUCGAAUGGCGGUGCAAAGGCAAACUGCUGCCUCAAGGUCUGCUAGGCCUUGAAGCAAGCUGCAGCAUGGUAGGGUAGGAGGAGAACCGAUGGUGACUCCAAUCAAUCCAAGCACAUUUGCGCACACACCCAGUUUUAGAGCAUAUCUAGGGCACCUUCCUGCUGAUCCUGCUCCUGAUCCACUGCCAUUCCCGCCUCCCGUUCCUGUUCCUUUUCCCAUUCCACCGUCUUUGCCUGUGCCCCGUCUUGGGUUGCCACAGGUGCCACAUGAAUAUGAGGGGGUGAGUAGAGUGAAGACGAGAAGGUUGAUGAGGAGAAAGGUUGCUGAGAAUGGGGUUUUCGAUGCCAUGAGAAUUUCUCAACUUAAUUAAACAGGAUAUUUGAUGUUUUGUGCAAACUUAAUUGGAUGAUUUGAGAAUCGGCUUGUAGGAUAGGGUAUUUAUACUUGAAAAGGGUAGGUAUUUUCGGUUAAAUUAAUACUUAACAAUCACAAGAAAUUACUGUUUUCUUCCUGAAUGAGGGUUCGGGUGGAAAUUGGCUAGAGAGUCAUAAUUGCGGAUGCAUGACAUGCGUGGAGUUGGAAAUCUCGGAUAAUAACAUCAUAUUAUCAAUAAUGAUCAAUGGCAACAUCAGGCACUGGUACUAAUUGAUCAUAUCAAUUUGCACAGCUUUGUGUUAUACAUCACUGUAUCAAUUGAGAAAUUUAUGUUAUAUUAGUUCAGAGCAACCUUUCAAAAUUUCCACUUCACCUCCUAUGUUAUACAUCACCGUAUCAGGCACUGUGAUUUCGUCUAUUAUCACAUGGCCCCUUUAACAUUUCAAAAUAUUCACUUCACCCCUUAUGGUUUUAUGUAAUGUGAAAAUUCGACAGAAAAUAACCUAUGUAAUGCCAUUAAUUGAAAUAUUAAUAAUACCUUUACUUCAAUGCUAAAUCAAUCGAUGACUUAACUACCUUGUAUAAAAGUAUAAAAGGAUUACGUGAAUAAAUGUAAAAAUCAUAGAAGGGUAAAGUAGAUAUUUAUAGAAACCAUAAAAGAGUUACAUGGAAAUUAAGAUUUUAUCACACGUGCUUUUAGAGCGCGUUUGGUAUAAAUAUCGUAAUUGUACAUUUCGUCCAUUUUUCACUUUAUAUAUAAUCAGGGGGGAGUUAUUUAGCUAUUUUAAAAUUUUAGGGAGGUCAUCUGCCAUUAUAUAAAUUCACAAGGGGUUAUAAGUAAUUUAUCCAAAAUUUUAUAUUGGUCUAGAGCAACUACUGGACAUGCUUAAUGGUAGGUCCAAAACUAAUAAAAAUAAAUAAUAAAAACUCUAUGUGGACAUAUAAAAACUCAAUUUGCUAAUUUACAUGUUAGGUGGGAUCUACUUGACACAUUAAAUGAGAUCGAGUGGGAUCUUUGUAUAUCUAUGUCAAAUUCUUUCAUUGGUUCGGGAACAAACAUGCCAAAUAGUUGCUUUGGAACGGCAUAAAACUUUCCUAGGUCAGUAGGUUACUAUUACCCUCAAACUUGACAUAUUAGAUGAGAUCGAGUGAGAUCUUUGUAUAUCCAUGUCAAAUUCUUUCAUUGGUUCGGGAGCAACAUGCCAAAUAAUUGCUCUGAAAUGACAUAAAUUUUUCCAAGUUGGUAGGUUACUAUUACCCUCAAACUUGACACGUUAGAUGAGAUUGAGUGCGAUCUUUGUAUAUUCAUGUCAAACUCUUUUAUUGAUUCGAGAACAAGAUGCCAAAUAGUUGCUCUGAAACGACAUAAAAUUUUCCUAGAUCAGUAGGUUACUAUUACCCUCAAAUCACAAGGCAGGCCAAGAAGUCGGUGGCUAUUAUUUUCAAUUCAUAGUAGGUGAUUAUUAUUUUCAAUAACAUCUUCGCAUGCGACUUUGAAGGUCUAAUUGCACUUGUGAAUUGAAAUUGAUACUUGUGACAACCCCACCUCCCCCUAGAGCGUACCCUAGUGUUUAGUGAGUCGCCUGCCUAAUUCUCGUCAGGACUCAUUCACGCAUAAUUCGAGAAAAGAACUUACAACCAUAGAAAAGAAAUAAAAUAAUGAUUUCAAACUUAGCAUAUACACUGAUGCUCAAAUCCAACUAUGUUGACCUUGGUCCCUAGCUUUUGAUGAUUACAAAACAAAUAGAUGUUGCUAACAUCUCCUCAAAGGUUUUUUCAGAAAUGAAACAAAUCAGGUUCAAAGAUUAAGCACAUUUGAAAAGGACAGAGUAUGCUGAACCUGUCGAACGCUCAAAAAGACUGUACCGGAUGUCCGAUAAUCAUUGCACAACUUCGGACGCAUGCUUCGAACGUCCGAUAGGAUCCUUCGAAGUCGACAAAACUAUCGAACGCUGAAUAUGUCUCUACCGGACGUCCGAUAGAAACAAGAUAAUUUCUCAAAUCUCUUUGUUUGCUGUUGGACGCACAAAAACCUUGCAUCGGAUGUCCGAAAGAAUUGAAAAAAAUCACUUAAACUCACUGCCUGCUGUCGAAAGCAUACAACAGGGCUAUCGGACGCCCGAUACUCCAACGGCUAGUUGACUCUUCAGCUCCUUUAUAUCCGUUGGAAGCUUUAAUGAGUCACUUUCUUGAUCCUAUAUGAAUAGUGGUUGGUCAGAUACUUCAAACAAUUUUUGCACACUGAAGAUACAAAAGAUCUAGAGUGGUUUUAGUGAGAAAAUACUCCUCAAAGAAAAUUUGUAGUCUUAGUGGUGUGAGGUUCAUUGUAAGUUUUUCAUUUGUGAGUGAAUACUUCAUGAGUGUAGCUCUGUGAGGGUUGUCCUGAGGGAUAGUAAAACGUCCUGACUUGACUGAGUGGAGUUCGGAACAAGCUUUGGAGUAAAGAUGACAACCAACAAUGAUAUGUUUUUUGAAGGACAUUUUGUCAUUAGACCACCUAUGUUUAAUGGGUCAAAUUAUGUGAGUUGGAAAGAAAGAAUGAUUAUUUUUUUGCAAUCUAUUGAUAUUGAAUUGUGGUUUAUUAUUAGUGAAGGUCCAUAUGAUGCCUCUCUUAUAGAUGAAAAUACUCAGAGAUCUAGACCAAAAACAAGAAGUGAACUGACUGCUGCGGAUAGAGCUCAUCUCACAUUAAAUGCAAAAGCCAUGAAUGUGUUAUAUUGUACUUUAAACUCAAAUGAAUCUAUUAGAGUCAAAAGCUGCAAGUCAGCCAAGGAAAUUUGGGAUAAACUAAGAGAAAUUCAUAAAGGUAGUGAGAAUGUUAGAGAACAAAAGAAUUCCAUUCUAGUUACAAAGUAUGAAUCCUUUAAGAUGCAAUCUCAUGAAAACAUUGAUGAGAUGUAUUGUAGAUUCAAUGACCUCAUUAAGGAUUUGGAGGUGCUGGAAAAAGAAUACUCUCUAGAUGAGAAAAAUAGAAAAAUUUUGAAUGCUUUAUUGAAGGAUUGGGAGAGUAAAGUGACUGCCAUUGACGAAGCCAAAGAUCUAAAUACCUUGCCUAUUGAAUCUCUCAUUAAUUCACUGACUUCUUAUGAGCAAAAACUCAAGUUCAAGGUGUAGGAAGAAGAAGACACAAAAGUUAGAAAGAAUAUUGCUCUGAAAGCUUCACAAGAUGAAGAUGAUACAGCCUCCGUGAAUAAAGAUGACAUGGAAGGUGAUGAUAGUGAUAUUGCACUCAUCACACGAGGUUUCAAAAGAAUACUCAACAAGAGGGAUUCAGAAAAGGUGGACCUAACAACUCCUUCCCGAAUCAGUCCAACAACUUGAGAAACAAAGGGAAGUUAGAGUUCAACAAAAAAUAAACUGAUAAGUGCUCUGAAUGCGGCCAACCUGGACACUAUGCAAAUGAGUGUCCAGUGAUGAAAAAAAAAGAAUGAAGAAAAUCAAGAUUCAACAAAUUUCAAUUCACAUGGAAUGAGUGCAACUCCGAUGGUGAAAUUGAAGAGGAUAAAAAAUCUGCUCAAUUGGCUUUUAUGGCCAUUGGAGAUGAUGAGGUAACAUCUUGUAACUCUCAAUUUGAAAGUGAUGAUGAAACUGAUGAUGAUCUUGAAUCUUUCAUUAUAAAAUUGCAUGAUAGUUUGAAAGAAUCCUGUGCUAGAAACAAGGAAUUAAAACAAAAAAUUAGUUUUUUGCUUCGAGAUAAUGCAAAUCUUUUUCAACAAAAUAAAAAGUUGAAAGCUGAAAAUGAUUUUUUCAAAAAGAGUGAGACUGCUUUACACUUUGAGCUUGAUAGAAAAAUAAAGCUUUGUGAAUUAUUCAAAAAGAAACAAGGUGAUUUGAAAAGAAGAAUGGAUGGUCUAAAUGAGUUGCUUAAGCACAAGAAACAAGUCUGUUUUCAAAAGAAUAGGUUGAAUUCUAAUUCCAACGAAUUUGCUAUUUAUAAGAGAAGACAAGUAAGAUUUAUUAAACCUGUUCAUGUAAAUAACUCAUUGAUUAUGUGUAAUUUCUGUUGUCAAAAAGGUCACAUGAAAAGUGAUUGCUAUGUGAGAAAGAAUAUAAAAAAAGGCAUGAAAUGCAUGUGGAUAGUUAGACACGAUGCUAACUCUAACAAGUAGGAGAUAUUGGUAAGAUUGAUGAGAUUCUUGUUCAUAAUGCUUUUUUUGUAAUUUUCUUUUAAUGUUUUCGGAUGUUUUGAACUGAGUUUUUAUUGAUUUUUUACUGAAUUCGUAUGAUGUCUAAAAGAGAGAGAAAAAUAAUGCUGAUCUCAUGAUGAUUUGUUGUGAUUGCUGCCAUUUCUCUGUUUUUAUUUGGAUUAUUGGAUUCUCUGUUAUUGUUGCUGGUUUUUGGUAGCUGACUUUUACUCUCAUCUUAUGAUGACAAAAAGGGGGAGAAAUUGAUGCUAUGUGUAAGGGGGAGUUAUUCUGAAAUUAUAAGUUUAGAUGCAUUGUAUGAGGGAGAGUUUAUGCUUAUAUGCUCAAUUUUUUUCUUUCUUUCAUCCAUUGUUUUGUCAUCAUAAAAAAGGGGGAGAAUGUUGACAUUGGUCUCUAGCUUUUGAUAAUUACAAAACAAAUGGAUGUUGCUAACAUCUCCUCAAAAGUUUUUUCAGAAAUGAAACAAAUCAGGUUCAAAAAUUAAGCAUAUUUGAAAAGAACAGAGUAUGCUGAACCUGUCGGACGCUCAAGAAGACAGUACCGGAUGUCCGAUAAUCAUUGCACAACUUCGGACGCAUGCUUCGGACGUCCGAUAGGAUCCUUCGAAGUCAACAAAACUAUCGGACGCUGAAUAUGUCUCUACCGGACGUCCGAUAGAAACAAGAUAAUUUCUCAAAUCUCUUUGUUUACUGUCGGACGCACAAAAAGCUUGCACCGAACGUCCGAAAGAAUUGAAGAAAAUCUCUUAAACUCACUGCCUGCUAUCAGACGCAUAAAACGGGGCUAUCGGACGUCCGACACUCCAACGGCUAGUUGACUCUUCAGCUACUUUCUAUCCGUUGGAAGCUUUAAUGAGGCACUUUCUUGAUCCUAUAUGAAUAGUGAUUGGUCAGAUACUUCAAACAACUUUUGCACACUGAAGAUACAAAAGAUCUAGAGUGGUUUUAGUGAGAAAAUACUCUUCAAAGAAGAUUUGUAAUCUUAGUGGUGUGAGGUUCAUUGUAAGCUUUUCAUUUGUGAGUGAAUACUUCAUGAGUGUAGUUCUGUGAGGGUUGUCCUGAGGGAUAGUAAAACGUCCUGAUUUGACCGAGUGGAGUUCGGGGCAAGGAGGAGGUGAACCUUCCUUUGUACACAAGAGUGAUUGUAAUUCAUCAAUUUGAAGUAGCUUAUUUGAAUUAACCUACAAGCUCAAGAGGAGUUGGAUAGUUAAUUGGUUUGCUAUUCUUUUCUUUUUAUUUACUUAUUGUUACGUUUGAAAUCUGUACUUUGUUUAUCUCUUUUACUCACGAGCACUUGUGUUUUCUCAUCAACUGCUCCAUUGUGUGGUCGCCUAGAAAAGAGGGUUGUUUUUGGGCCUAACAAACUACAAGUAUCAUACAUGCCAAAAUACAUUAAAAUGUUUACAAUCCAAAUACAAUCAACCCCUAGUCGGGUGCUAGCGCAAGAACAAUUACAAAAUUCAAAAAACUAGACCACACUAGUUUGUACAAGUCUCACGCCUCGCUCGUAUCCCUGUAAGGAAAACAAAUGACGUGAAAUGAGUUAAAAAUCCAGUGAGGUUCCAAAUAGCAAGUUAACCAUUAUUUAAAAGUACAAGUAUCAAUGUAGAAAAAUAGCGAACAUAAUAAGUUCAUAAAAGUGAGCAAUAACACUUCAAGUAGCAAAUCUCAAAAUGGGCGAGUGUAAAAGUUUUUCAAAAGAAACAAUAACCCAAUGAGUAACAAUCAUGUCAAAAUAUAAGGAUACGGAUGGCUCUCAAGAGCCAAGUUCCUGUUGCUUUACCAGAGCUUAAUCAAGUAGUAGUUGACACUCCGUCAACUUUCAAGUAAAGGAACUAGUCCAGUAAAGCACCACUUAGUUACAAUCUCCGUCCACCAACCAAAACCCCAAAUGGGCCCAAAAUCCUCAAUAAACACUGGUGGUAAUAAUCGAGUAUACCAAUUUGUCGAGAAGAUAGCACUCCACUCGACAAAACUAAUGACCCAGGUUCGUUAAUGAAUCGACCAAACCCUUACCAGCUCGACUCGACCAACUAGCCAAGGGUUUCUGAAAUUCCAGACAAGAUACAACUCAUAUGCAUGUAUAUCAAUUCAAUUGAAAUCAUUUAACAAGAAUAUAUCACAUUAGGGCAAGUGCGAUAAAGUACACUCUUGCCCUAUCAAUCCACUCAUCACUCAUAUAUCAUGUAAUCACAUUGGUCAAGUAUUAAACACAAAUGUCAAGUUCAAUCAGGUAUUUGAAAGCACUCACCAAAGAUGUAGUGCCUUUACGGGUUAUGGUCAGGUGUUACUCCUUGUUAGGAGUCCAAAUCUGCGAUAAAACAUCGUUGACGAGUUUUGAAAAUCAACUAAGUUUGAAACUUAAACGUUUCGUUUAACAAGAAUCAAGUAAUUGAAACUUAUUUAGAGAAUAUUCGUAAAACUCUUGCUCACUUUUCAAACUGUAAAACUUUGAAACAAUUAUACUUUGAAAUACCAUUUGAGUCGAAAAAACGAGGAAAACGUAUUUCUAUUAGUCGUAAAUUUCAUUUUUCCAAGGGUACAAGUUUCGGUCGAAUUCUAACUUAUAUACCUUUGUGAAAGAAGACUUGAAUAUCCUCAACGAUUCAAGUGAUAUUCGUUUUCAAAUCCUUACUCAAGUCGCACUUACAUCUACCUAGCACUCGAGUGCAAAUUUGGACAGCAUGCCCUUUGUGUUUACCUAUUUUCCAACAAUUUAUGACUUCAUUAUUUUUCUCAAUUCAGCCUCAAAAUCAUACACAAAUAAUCUAACCACAAUAGCCUUUCAAUAGGUUCACUGUCAUUCAAUUACAAAACAAUACUAGAAAAUGGACCGGAACUAAUGUUUAAGACAAUUAACAAAAUCACAGGUUUGACAUCUCUUAGCAUUUUGGUCACCAUCGAAGCUAAACUUAUCAGAUUGGGGUGCACCUUAUACCGUUUUAAAGCUAAGACAAAGUGUUACAACUUUUACGAAAACAACUCAACCCAUUUCUGUAACAUCCCGAAUAUUAGGAGGUUGUUUGUGAAGAAAAUAUUAAAGUAUAUUUCUUCGGGUUUGAUUUAAAACCUUAUUUUGUUUUAAAAGACUAGAAACCCUAAUGUUUUAAUCAAAAACCCUAGUUUACUUGUGACUAAACGGUUUCUUAAAUCUCUCGUAUUUUACUAGAGAUCCUAAUGUUAAUUAUUGAAAUUUUAAAUUCCUCACGUUUUCUUAAAAAUUUCCUUUUAUUUGAAAAUUAUUAUUUAUUAAGGCCCUACUACCCAAUUGUUCAACAAUAAGUGCAGAUGAACCUGGAAAUAGGGUUUUACACUUCAGUUUCAAGAUUUGAGCAAAAUUAGGGUUUUUCGAUUUUUCCGCCGGAUGAAUUUUCGGUACUGGCCAAGGAUCAAUUUGAUGAUUAAAAGUGACUUUUAAGUGAGAAAUAAUAUGUGAGUAGUAGCCAUGAGACAAGGUUAGUGAAUGGAAGAAAAAAAAAAAAAACCUAGUACGUGAGUUUUUAAGAAAACGGCGCGAACCGGCGGGUCCCGCGCACUACCGUUUGAACGCACCACUGGACUACCACUUUCUUGCACCACAAGCUCAUUGAUAUUUGAGCCAAAAUAUCUUCUUAUAUUCAGCUAAGAAGGACCGAAAUUUGUGGCUAAGAAACAAGGGGAAGAAAGAGAAAAAUUAGUGGACAAGAUUAGUCCAAGUGUUAGUAGAAAUUUGUGGUCAUAAUUAACUCUAACCUUCUUACUUCUUAUAAGACCAACACUUAGCUUCAUUCCUCUUCAUUUUGCUGCUGAAGAACCGUGAGUGAGAGAGAGGAAAAACAAGAGAGCAAACCUUCCAUUUCAUCUUCAAAUCCAACAACUUAGUGAGAAAAUAAACAAAGUAAACCGAUUAAACUUGUUCUUGAGUGACUAAGUGUUGAUUUGUGGUAAGUUUUUGAAGGAAGGAAGCUUGGACUACUCUUAGUGACCUCUACUCAAGGUAAGAGAGAUUAUCUCUCCAAGUUUUGCUUUUAAUUUGGUUAAAUUAAGAUGGGCAACUUGAUUUUAGGGUGAGAUUAUGGAUGAUUAGCAUGUUUUAGUGGUUUUCCCCAAUUUAUUUGAUGAACUAGGGCUUGUGGAAAUUCUGCCCAAAUUGUUGUAGGAUGCUUAUAUGUUGUAAUUGAAGUUAUAUAAGGUGUUAUGGUAGUGAUUGGACCAAGAAAUGAAGGAUAGAUGCACUAGAAACUCAAAGUUUCAAAAUCUGGAAUUUUUUUUCCCCAAAUUUCUGUCCGAAAUUUUAACUGUAUGUUAGAGGCUGAUUUGGCCUUGGGUCAAAGAAGGAAAGUUGUAUAGAAUGGAAUUUUGUAGGUGCCUAUAAAAUUUCAGCUCAAUCGGAGCAACGUAGGUCGUGAAAAGUCCAAAAUACCCUUACUGUUCUAAGUAUUUCCCAGCAGUACGUUUCAGCAGUUGAGUCCAGUUUAUCACGAUUUUUGACCAGGAUCCAUUCUGUUUUAGCUCUGGACCAAAACAUGAAAGUUGUAGUGCUCUGAAGUAGCUUUAAAAUGCCUCUAAGAACACCUGAUUCGGACUUGUGUACACUGGGUUUUGUCCAUUACAGUGUUCUGCAUUUAAACAGCCGGUGAAUUGAUUUCAGGUUUGGUAAUUGGAGAAUUUGACCAAUUUACAUUAGAAACUGGACAAAGUGACCUUCAUGAACAUUGUAGCCCUGUGUCUUAGCUUCGAAACGGCAUAGGUUGCGCCUCAUUCCGAUAAUCCUAGCCUCGAAUAUGUUAUUUCCGCAUUUGUACGUCAAAUCUGUUUUGUGCCACAUUGAACUCCUGUACUUGCUACUGUUGUGAAUCUUAUUAUUAUGAUAUUGUGAGCCUAUGGAACGGCUCUUGACAUGAAUGGCUGAGAUGUAUAAUGUUGGGUUGUGUUUGAGAAAAACAAUGAAGCCUAAAAGGCUGGAAAAUUAGGUAAACACAAAGGGCAUGCUGCCCAAAUUUACGCUCGAAAACUAGAGAACUACUUGCAACUUGGGUAAGGGUUAAGAGUGAUUACUGCUUGAACCAUCUAGGGUACUUGAGUAUUCUUGUUCCGAGGUAUAUAAGGAAGGACUUGGCCGAACUUGUACCCUUGAGAAAGGAAAUAAUGAUUGCUCGGAGUAUGUUUUCCUUAUACUUUCGACUUGCAUGGCAUUUUCAAGUAUAAAUGUUACAAAGUUUUACCAUUUAAAAAGCGAGCAAGUGUUUCACGACUACCAUCCGAGUGAAUUUCAAUUUCUUGAUUUUAUUGAACGAAACGUCUAAGUUUCGAAUCUUAGUCAUGUUUCAAAGUUCUCAAACUGAGUUUUAUCGCAGAUUUGGACUCCGAACCCGGAGUAUAACCUGAAAGUGACCAGUAAAGGCACUAUAUCUUUUGGUGAGUGCUUUCAAAUACCGAAUUGCACUAGAUACUUGAACUUGAUACGUGACCAAUAUGAGUACAUGUUAUAUACGUGAAUUGAUAGGGCAAGAGUGUACUUUAUCGCACUUGCCCUUACGUGAUAUACUUGUUUAUUGUUGCAAUUGACUUGAUAUACUUGAUUAUGAUGCGCGCACUUCCUGGAAUUCCAGAAACCCUGUGGUGAGUUACUCUAGUCGAGCCGGCAAGGGCUUGGUCGAUUGAGUAACGAACCCUGGGUCUCUUGUAUUGUCGAGUGGAGUGAUAUCUCCUCGACUAAUCGGUAUACUCGAGUAUUACCACCCAUGUUCUUGAGGAUUUUGGGCCCAGCUGGGGGUUGAACGGUGGACGGAGAGUCGUUUAAGUGGUGUUCUACUGGAUUGGUUACUUACUUGAAAGUUGACGGAGUGUCAACUACUACGUGAUCAAGCUUCUGGUAAUGCAAAGGGGAAUUUGGCUCCUGAGAGCCAUCCGUAUCCUUAUGCUUUGGAAUACUUAUUGUUUGUUGGAUUAUUGUUUCUUUUGAAAAACUUUUACACUCGCUCAUUUUAAGAUUGCUACUUGACGUGUUACUGUUCACAUUUAUGAACACUUCAUGAACACUUUAUGCUCGUUACUUGGCUAUAACGAAAACUCGUACUUAUAAAUAAUGGUCAAUUUGCUAUUUGGAACCUCACUGGGCUUUUAGCUCAUUCCACUCCAUUUGUUUUCCUUUCAGGGGUACGAGCGAGGUGCGAGAUAUGUAAAGUCUAGCAUAGACUAGUUGUUUGAUUUUUGACUUGUACUCGUGCUAUUCCUCGAAUAGAAUGUUUUGUAUUUGGAUUGUAUACGCCUUGAACCAGUUUGAGUAUAUUGAGACUUUGUACCUCGAUUUCUAUCAAUGUAAAUUAUAAGCUUGAAUUGGGAUUGUUAUUUAUGGUUCAUGGUUGUGUGUACAUUAUUCGAUAGAGAUAGUGAGUGAGUCCUGGCGAGAGCUGGGCAGGCGGUCCGCCGAACCCUUUGGUACGCCUUAGGGGGAGGUGGGGUCGUCACAAUUUCACAUUUGAUCUAGGUCAAAUUUGCAAAUUACAGAACCAGAAUUCAUUAUCAGUUUGGUUAUAAGCACUGGAUUUAAAUGGCAAUAACUCAAACUACAAAAUUCUGAUUGAGGCAUUUUUAGAUGCGUUGGAAAGCUGAAACAUAGGGUUAAAACUUUUAUGUUUUGUCCAAAUACUGAUUUGAUACGGAUCAAAGUGAAAAAUGAAGUCAAACCUGUGAAAUCUCAAAACUGCCUGAUGAAAAGAACAUUUGGCAGCUAGAGGUAUUUCAGUCAUUUUAUAUGAUACAGUACUCCGAUUGAGCUGAAAUUUUACAGAAAGCUAUAUAACAUUAUUUCCUACAACUUUUAUGUUUCGACCUAAGCCUGAUUCGGCCUCUAAUAUGAACAAAUUACAUUAUCAGAACAGAGCAGAUUCCACUAUCAAAGCUGGAAAUUCAACUUUUAAGGCUAAAAAUCACAAUCAAGCCACUAAUCAUCUCACAAAUUCCAUAUCCAAACCCAUUACCAACAUUUGAAAGUUAAACAACAUAUUCAAGGCUUAAAAUUAUCAAACCCUAGCUGAAAUUUCAUGAAUCACCACCAAAACUACAAAAUCUUCCAUAAAACCUACUACAAACAAGCAUAAUCUCAUUCAAGUGCAAGAUUAAAGAAAUAAAGUAGCUUCUUGCCGAAAGUACCUUCAAACCUCAAGAAAGAUGGAAGCUUAGUGCUUUUCCUCCAAAAUCUCUCCACUCAAGUCCUUAAUCUUCCCUAGUGAAUCGCUUUUAUGGAGUAUUUUGCGAGCUUGUGGAUUGAAACUCAAGAUUCAAGCAUGAAGUUGGGAUUGAAGAUGAACUUUUCUCUCCUAUUUUUCCUCUCAAACUCAUGGCCAAGAUGGAGAAAAAAGUGCAGAAAUUUUUGGUCCCAAACAAAGUUAAGAAGAUAGGAAAGUUUGUUGGUCAAACUUGGUUGGCCAACACUUGUCAAGCCGCCAUUGGUCCUCUUGUUUUUUUUUUUUCUUUUUUCCUUUUCUUUUGGUCAAAAAUGGUGGCUGUUUCAUAGGAUAUUUUAGGGGUGAUUAACUGAAAUAAAAGCAAGGUAAUUAAGGUAAUAAAGUAGUGUUCAAGUGGUGUACUCACUCGGUGACAAACGGCACAUGUCGGUUCACACCGUUUUUCCUUAACUCACACGUACUAGGAUUUUCACUUAUAAUUCACUAACUUAUUAUUGUUACUUCUAAUCACACACUUUUUCUUAUCUAAAACUCACUCUUAACCACCAAAUUUAGUACACACCCCGUAUCGAUUACUCAUACUACCAAAAGACGUAAAAACCCGUAGAAACCCUAAUUUACCCUAACGAUGAAAGUAAAGAAGAAAUUCUUAAUUCUAUUCUUUAUUCCAACUAUUGAGAGAGUAAAUAAAUAGUAAAAAAAUAUUAUAAAGUAAUUUAAUCAAAAUAAGAGAGAAUUUUAAAAAAACAUGAGCGAAUUUUCCAGUCGUCACACUCUUUGCUCCUUAAAAGAAUUUCGACUUCGAAAUUUAUACAUGUAUUCAUAAAUAACUUAGGAUAUUUUCCUUGCAUAUCCGUUUCUAGCUCCCAAGUCUCACCGUAGCCAAAAUUUAGCUAAACAAUGGAAAACACGAAUCGUAUCUUCUACUACCUCCGAUAGUUCAAGUACUGCCUGUUGGUCCAAGGCGUACAUUCUAGGGGAUAUUAACCCUAGGUAUUGCUCAAAACUUGACGAGGUACAACCAAGUACGUAAGCGUGAAUAGUAAGGGUCCCCAAUCUCACUAAUAUCUUCAAUAUAUCCGAAGUCCAGACUAUUCACAUCCCCCUUGCCUUGGCUUUCGCUAUCCACACUUAUCCUCAUACUAUUCGGGAUACCGACUUAUUAUAAAGGUAUCACUCUUUGGUACUCGGGUACAAGAAUCUGAAAAUAUGAUAAUUCACCACUCGAGUUAGCUAGGCUUAAGAGGAAAUCAACCACUUUUGAGAUUCCUACCCAACAUACAUAUCUAAAGUCCCCAACAAUAGACAUUUAUUUCACACUUAACAAGCCAAUCCCCACAGUCCGAGAACCCUCUCCUGGCAUGAGCUCGAUAGGAGCUCUGAUACCAUCUGUGACGGCCCCACCUCCCCCUAAGGCGUACCCUAGGGUUUAGUGAGUCGCCUGCCCAACUCUCGCCAGGACUCAUUCACGCUUAAUUCAAGAAAAGAUGAAAUGACUGAAGUACCCCUGACUGCCAAAUGUUCUUUUUAACAGGCAGUUUUGAGAUUUCAUAGGUUUGGCUUCAUUUUUCACUUUGAUUCGUAUCAAAUCAGAAUUUGACCAAAACAUGAAAGUUUUAACCCUAUGUUUCAGCUUUCCAAUGCAUCUAAAAACGCCUCAAUCGGAAUUUUUUAGUUUGAGUUAUUACCAUUUAAAUCCAGUGCUUAUAACCAAACUGAUAAUGAAUUCUGGUUCUGUAAUUUGCAAAUUCGACCUAGAUCAAAUGUGAAAUAGGUUGAGUUGUCUUCGUGAAAGUUCUUAGCUUCGAAACAGUAUAAGGUGCACCCCAAUCCGAUAAAUGUAGCUUCGAUGGUGACCAAAAUGCUAAGAGACGUCAAACCUAUGAUUUUGUUAAUUGUCUUAAACGUUAGUUCCGAUUCAUUUUCUAGCAUUGUUUUGUAAUUGAAUGACAUUGAGCCUAUUGAAAGGCUAUUGUGGUUAGAUUAUUUAUGUAUGAUGAAAUUCUUAAUUCUAUUCUUUAUUCCAACUAUUGAGGGAAUAAAUAAAUAGUAAAAAAAUAUUAUAAAAUAAUUUAAUCAAAAUAAGAGGGAAUUUUAAGAAAAUAUGAGCGAAUUUUUCAGUCAUCACAAUACUAAAUCCCAUGAGGAUCGCAUAUGUCCUUUUUACGUGCAAGUUCAAAAUGCGCGUGAAUUUUAGGUAUCAUUUACUGUUCACUUCAUGUUCAUAAAAUUUUAUAAAGCCUCAAUCAUUGAAGAGGCUAGAUAAAACUGGCAAAAUAGGUGUUGCUACACUGAAAUAUUUGACAACUAGUUUUCAAUUUCAUUCGUAGAAUAGGAAUGCAAAGAAGGUCUACGCUUUAAUAGUAAUCUUAAGUUUUAAAAUUGUAUGAUAAAUCAUUGAGAUAAUGUGACGCCCCCACUUCUCCCUAAGGCGAACCAAAGGGUAUCCGCGGGACGCCUGCCCAGCUCUCGCUAGGACUCACUACAAUCCAUCAUUCGAAAGCUCGAAAUACUUUAAGUAACUUCAAUACAUAAUUAAAGUACUUCAAAUAUCUCACACUUACAAUUAUAUAGCUUUCAAGCUUAAAUACAACCCAACGGAAAAGGGUACAAUAGUCAUCCGUUAUAAUAUAACUUAAAAUCUCCAAAAGAAAACAAUCUAGUACUACUCACGAGCACCCUUGGUCUCAAACCCUGUAAAAGAAAACCACAACGUGGAAUGAGCUACACAGCCCAGUGAGGUUCCAAGACACUCUAACAGUUCAAAUAAAUCAAGUAGGUUUGGCAUAUCAUAUGCAUGGUUCAAGGUUACACAAUGGCAUGUUAUCAUGAGGUGAUAAUCAUUGUACGGGUAAUUUGAGACAUGUAUCAUGGUAUGAGACAUUUAUCAUGAGACAGUUAUGAUGGUUCAAGACAUUGGCAUGUAUAGUUCACGAGUGAUUUGAGCUUAUGACAGGUGCGAGUAAUUAAGCAUGUUAUAGGUAUGGAGCAUUAACAUGAAACAGGUAUCCUGAUAUGAGUACAUUGGACAGGUAACAGGUAUGAAGCAUAUCACAGGCAUAGCUCAGGAUUUCAUGUUGAUAUUUUAGCAUGAAACAAUUAUCAUGAUACAAGGUAAACAUAUACUGUAGGAUACGGUGUUCCAGUGGAACUCUGUCGGUCAUCUGCACCUUAUGACUUCCGGAUCCCCUCGGUUUGACUGGCCAUCACCUUAUCCCUCCAGUGGUAAUACUCGAGUAUACUGAAACGGUGGCCCAGAGUUCCAACCUACCCGACCGAGCCCAGUCCUGGCUCGAGUAGGUCAGUAACCAAGGGCAGGGCCCAAGUUCAGCUUAGAGCUUACAACAUGCAUAGGUAACCAAGUAAUUCGACAAAAGGUAUAAUUCAUCAUUUGAGUAGGUCGAGUGAGGUAAAGUACACACUCUUCUAACAAUCAUGGACAGCUUCAUAUAACAUGUGAUUCAUGAUAAUCAAGUAAUCAAGUGGGUACUUAGCACGUAAGCACGUAAGCAAUACAAGUUGAUUUCAUGGGAGCAUGUAAUUCACGGAUAUCGAAUAGUCAUGUAGAUUGGAAAUCAUGUGAGCAAAUAGUCUGGUAAUCAGGUAGUCAUGUGGGUUGGUAAACAGUUCACGGUUAACGGUUAACGGUUAAUGGUUCAUGGUUGACGGUUAACGGUGGAGUAGUGACGGUUAAUUGACAGGCAUUUGUCAUAUUAAUAGGCCAUCAUUGGCCGUUAUCCCAUUUUUACCAUGUGAGAGUCGAGGAGAUUCACUCCAAUGACGUAUGCAACCUUAGCAAACCAAGUCAUGUUAUUCGAGCAUUUCCAAGCAUGAGUUAUUCAUCUCAAAAGAGAACGAGUGCGAUAAAAUACACACUCAACUCCAUUUUUCAAAAACUGAGUAGGCUAAGCAAGCAAUCUAGCAAGUUAAGCAUGUAUCGAGUUCAUAUGGUCAUUUGGUAUGGUUAAUCAUUUAACCAAUUCAUGUAAAUAUGCAAUGCAAAUAUACAUUCUUUAAAUAGGCAUGAGUAUGGUAAAUACUUAACACAUAAUACUUAACACUUAAUAAUCAUGAAAUAAACAUGUCCUAGACUUAUUCAAAUACGUAUUCCUAUAUGGAACACUCACCUAGUCAAAACAAGCGAGCAGUUCUCAAACAAGCGAGCAGUUCUCAAACAAGCGUUUUAAGUGUCCGCUCCGAGAUCCUCUUGAAGGUCCCCUCGAGCACCUGAGCAAACAAUCGCUGUCUAUUAUACACUAUCAUUUAAAAUCCCCAAUUAUCACGAAGGGUCACACACUAGUACAAUCUAGAAAAUAUCGCAACGAUGAGCCUAAAUUUCCUCGUAAAAUCAAGGCCCAAGAGUGGAGCUCAAAAACUCUAGAAUAAUCCGAUUUUUAUCCUCAAAAUCAUUGGAUGGAAGCAAGUAGGUAUGAAAUCAAGAAAAUCAUUUUCCAAAUGAAUGACCGAAGUCGGAUGAAGAUGCGACACGUCACAAUCCGGCCAAGAACUGGCCGGAUAUCCGGCUGGAUUUCUGGCCGGAUUCAAAGGCAGUGAGCAACCUUAUAUAUUUUUCAAUUUUCACCACCAAUUCGGCCAACUAUCCGGCCAAUUCUUGGCCGGAUAUACGUCCGGAUUCUAUGAAAAUGUUUCCCGCGCAAAUAUUUUCAAAAAGCUAAGAAUUAUCGGAUUUAGGGGCAUUGUUGGAAAAAUCAUAACUCAUUUUCUGAGAGUCCAAAAUUAGAAAACUUGGUACCAAUAGAAACUUCUUUGAAAGUACUAAAAGUUCUUAGAAGAUAUUUUUCCACGAAUGUAAGUGAAAGGCACUCAAAUUUUGGCUCAAAGUUGGUAACUUGAACUACCAACACAGAUUUAAGUUGGUUUUUGGCCAACUUUGAAAAUUCGGCAAAAUUCACUUGUUUUGAACUAACCUUUGAAAUUUGGAAAUCAAUUAGUGUUGCAAUCCAAGAGUAUAACAAAACAAGCGGAACGAGAAACGGAGUUUCGAGCACCAAGAUAUAGUAGCUCCAAGUUGCUGAAAAAGUUAAGACUGUUGGGCUAUUUUCCAGGUUUAAAGACUAGAUUUGAAGUAUCAUUUGGUCAUCGAGUUGGCAUUGGAAAUACAUCAAACUUGGUACACUAAAUCUUCCAUGUGUGAACAACAUUUCUACGAAGUUUCAUACAAAAACUCUCACGGUAAGGCAGUCAUUAAAACAACCAAAGUUUAUGAAAAGUUUCAAGGCUAAACUACCUUCUCACUUUUCUUUUGUUUACAAACUUUUUGUACCAUGAAAUCAGUUCCAAAUCUCUCCAUUAUUGAAACCAAGAGUUCAUAAACAUCCACUGAGCAAUUUAAAGACCAUUGACAUCCAAAUUUUUGAAAUAAAACUCCCCAAAGCAGAUUUGACCAUUUGGCUAAGAGAAAACGAAUAGUUUUCCAGAUUCGAUGAGCGAAUUUUGUGACAUCAUUUGCAUAUCAAAAUGGUCUUAAAAUAUUACCAAAUUUCGUACAAUUAAACCUCCAUAUGAGGAGUACUCUUCUAUCAAAUUUCAUUUGAAAAUUCACACGGGAAGGUAGUUAACUAAACCAUCAAAGUUCAAGAAAUUUCCCCAAGGUAAAACUGUCUUCUAGCUCUUCUUUCCUUUUUAAACAUUUUGUCCAAAGCAACCAACCCAAAUCUGGUUUAUUUGUGAAACAAAUUCCAAGGAACAUAUAAUAUAAAGUUUGGUAGAUGUUGGACAUCAAAGUUUCCAAAACAACAAGUCACAAAUCUGUCCAAGUGGAAAAUUCUAUCACUGUAGCAGUUUCAAACUUUGGCCACAACUCACUCAAUUCAACUUGGAAUUGGACGUGGUUGAUGGCAUUGAAAAGCUCUCUCAUAAAGAUGAAUUUUCUCCGAAGAAACCAUUUUUAAAUUCUAUCCACAAACAGCUCGUUUUUUGAGCAUCAAGAAGUAAUUUCUGUCCUGUCUCCUGGAGAGCAACGAAACAGGGCAGUGAUUUUCAAACGAAUGGUGUGGCUCACUCGAGUGGAACCAGAACGUGAAAUUAGUACCAAUGGAAAGCUGGGAAUGUCUAGUUUCCAAUGCAGCAAACGGCACUUGAUUUUGACAUCGGAGCGAAGAGUUAUGGCCGAUACAAAAUGACUGCCUGGGCAAUGUGGGAUUCAUUUUCCAGUUUUGCUAACUUUGGAAAUCAACUCAUUUGACCAACCAAAUCAUGUUAUUUUUCAAUGAAAUUUUAUACACCAACUAUACAACAUAUAAACAUCAUAUACGAACCAUUAAACCCUCAAAAUUCUGCAGAAAAGGGUACGAUCAAAACAGGGGCAAAAUCGAAACUUUUUACUCCAUGCACCCCUUGAAGUUUCUACUAGUUAUACACCAUUAAUCUACCAUUUUGAGCAUUAAACCAACAUUAAACCCAUCAUUAAUCAUCACAUCAGCCAUCAUCCAAGAGUGGGAGUUCAUAGAGCCCACAUUCAAAAUUUUCCAACAAUAACAACCACCCAUAUGAAUAUCCAAGCUAAUAAGUGUAAAUCAACUCACAUAAACCAAGUUUCCAAAGGUGGAUCGUUACUUACUCUAGUUGAAGACCAAGGCAGUGAUUUUCGGUCCCCUUUGCUCCAAAAAUACCAUGAGUUUUAGCUCCUUUUUGCAGCUCAAUGUGGUGUCCAAUAGUGGAUCUAAGUGUGUAUGAAAUUGGUAGGAUUUGGAUGAAGAUUGGUGAGGUUUUUUUGUGAGAAGAAAUUUUGAAACUUGGAGGUUGAGAGAGAGAGAGAGAUGGCCGGCUGUCUUUGGAGAGGAGAGAGAGUGUAGGUUGAUCUAAUUUGGCUUCCAAGAGAAGCUUCAUUUGUGUGGCCCAUAAUUGUGCAAAAGUCAACUCUCCCUAGUGCGCAUACGCGAGCGAUUUGGGCUCGAUUCCUCUUGCGUUUGUUUCACUAGUGCACUAAACCACUAAUGCACUUAUAUUCAUAUAAAUAUUAUUCACUCUUAAUUGUCCCAAAAUAAGGGUCUAACGUUCCUCAAUUUAAAUCGCGCGUGUGAAAACAUGUAUCUCCAAUUUAAGCGCGAUAACGCGAAAUUUUCGAGAAAUUCUUAUAACGACAAUACUAAUAACUAUCACUUGAGUAUUUAAAUGUUAAAAUACCUAAUUUAGGUCCAUUAUACAAAUCUCCAAUAUUCCAAACUUAUUGUACUCUCAAUCGGUCAAGAUUUCCAAAGACGUGUUCACUAUUUUCACUAAACGAACUUCCGAAAAUUAAUUUUUAAAACAAGUCACUUUAAAAAUAUAAUGAAACUAUAUUUCCAUGUAAUUAGGUCUCAAGAGAUUAGAAAUUUGUGACAGCCCCACCUCCCCCUAAGGCGAACCAAAGGAUUCGGCGGACCGCCUGCCCAGUUCUCGCCGGGACUACGGGGUCAAAUCACUCCCAACUCUGUAGCACGCGUGAUAGAAACCAAAGAAAACGAACGAUUGGGAAACCUCCAAGUUAAAUGUAACUUACCAACCCAUAAUAUUGACGAAAUCCCUGUUAGAUUUUUUUUUUCUUUUCACACUUGGAUACUAUACUCGUCCGAAAUCUCAGUAAUUUCAUUAAACUCCAUGUAGCCAUAAAGAAUGAACACGUUCGAUCGGGGUAACCCAUGUACAGGAUUAAACACUUAUAUAUAUAUAAAUACAUGAUUGCAAAUUUACAAAUCAAAAGGGAGUUGUUGGAUCGAAAUACAUUCAAGGUUUCUAUCUAUUGAGGAGCUAUACAAAAGAAUAUAUAUCUGGCUCAACUCAUGCUUCCAAACAUCAUUGUUCCCAAAAGAUUUUCCUGUAAGGAAAACAAGGAUAACAAAACGGGGUGAGCUAUAAGCUCAAUGAGGUACCAAAAAUAAUAAUAGUCAAGGAUCAAGGAACUUCAUGCUCAAUUAAUCACAUAGGUGUACCAAUUAAGGAGAUAUGUAAACACUGAGAUAGAAAGGAUACAGAUGGCCCUCAGGAACCAAUUUCCUGUUGCAGUACUUGAUCCGACUACGUUGACCCUCCGUCAACUUUCAACUAAAGAAAACCAAUCCAGUAGAACACCGCUUUAACGCCGAAUCCCGGGCCGAACGCCAAAUAAAACAGGAAUGGUAAUACUCGAGUAUACCGGAAUCAAGAGUCUCAAUACUCAAAGAUUCCAUAAAAACAGGCACCCACGGAUUGUCAAUUUUCUCGACCAAGCCCUUGCAUGGCUCGAUUUAAUUAACUCCCCAUGAGGUUGAGCUCAGGUUUAACAGGACGAUCAAGUUUAACAGGACGAUCGUGGACACACUUCCAAAUGAUCGAAUACAAGUGCAAGUAACAAGUUCAAGUACAUAACAAGUACCAGUAAUAGAUCCCAGUUUAUUCAGUACAGGCAAGAGAACGAGUGUGAUAAAGUACACCUUCGUCUCAUACAAGAUAAACGGUCAGGAAAGAUAUUCAAGUAGCAAGUUGCAAGUACAGAAAACCAGUUUAACAAUAAUUCAGGGGAGUGGUACACUCACCUGAUUAAACAAGGAUAAUUUCAAAAGUUUCCUUCCCAAGUGUGGCUUCACUCGUCGUUACCUCCUAGAACAAUCAAGGCAAACACUUAAGACUCGACUCCAAGACCAAGUAUGGAAUUCGCAAGUGAGACUCGGUUACGAGCCAUAUGCCUAGUCAAACGAACCAUUAAUGCAAAGCAAAGAGGCGACCUCGGAGUGAAAAGGUAACAAUUAUUCUUAAAAGCAUGAACAACCUCAAAACCAUUCCUACAAUGACUGACCAACUCCAAAUUUGAAGUAGAUAAAGAAAGCAAGAUCAAUACUAGCAAAACAGAAUUUUUCCAGUUCCGCACGACCUUAUAUGAAAAAUCAUAUCUCAAGUUUUGUAAGUCCAAAAUUAAUAAAAGUUAUACCAUUGAAUAUACAUUUAAAGGGCUAUAACUUUUCAGAAAACACUAUUGUAAGAUUCAGAACGUAAGUCAGUCGAAUUCAAGUCGCAAGUUGCUGCUUUAUCCAGUGGAGGACAGAACAGGUACAAGAUUUCAGUCAAUUUUGAAAAAUCACCAUAAAUUGGACAAAUAGAAACAGGAUCUGAACUUUACAUGGUUUAUAGCCCUAUGAAUCUAGUUUAAAACGCAACAAACGGAACUCAAUUCCGACAUUUCUACAUCAAGAUAUAGCAAAUCUCCCGAGACUGCACCGAAGCUCCUACAAACAUUUAGACAGCACUUCCCCUUGUCUCUCUUUACUUUUCCAGCCAUCAAGGCUUCUUUUGUUUUCCUCAAUCACUCCCAAAGGCACACACAAAAUAAGUUCAUUAAAUAGCCAAUCAGUAAGCUCCAAGUAGUACAAGUACAAUUCAAGUUAGGAAAAAGUCCGGAAAUGAAAGUUAAGCUCAAAACCAGAAAAACAGUUUUUGACAUCAUUUUGCGGUAAUGGUACCAAAGGCACUACGAUUAUUGGAUGAAGGUGUAAGACCCACCGUUUCGAAGCUAGGAAAUAGGGCUAAAAUAUUGAAGAAGGUCACUCAGCCCAGUUCCGAGUGUAAAUAGGUCAAAAAUGCAAGAUACUAUACCAGAACCGGAAAAACAGAUUCACAAAACGCAUUCUGCUGCAAACAGCAUAACUCAGCCUACUUAAGUCCAAAUCUAGAAAUUCCAAAGCCAUCCAAAAUUUUAGAAACAGGGCUGCAUUUCAUCAGAAGACCUUAACAACCAAUUCUGAAGCAAUUCCAGCCAAAACAACCAAUUACAGGCGCAAUUCUUACAUUCGGGUAAAACCAGGACAGCAAGGGUAAUUUCAACUUUUCUCAUUCUACGCUACUCCGAUUGACCUGAAAUUUUGUAGGCACCUCUAAAAUAUCAUUCCCUACAACUUUCACGUUUUAAUCCAAGGCCAAUUCGGCCUCUAACUAGGAGCUAUAAAACCGGGCAGAAUGUUCCCAAUAAAACCCUAACUUUCUAAAAUUUCUUCCAAACCAGAAAUUGGUUGCAAUUAACCACUUUUUCCACUUUCUAAAGUCAUCAUAUACCAUUUCCAAUCAUCAUAGAUAGCCACACAAUCAUGUUCAUACUAAAACAGAAAAAUCCCCAAAAAUUAUAAAAGUUCAUCAAUUCAACCACAACUCAAAAUAUAAUCCAUAAAAUGGCAUCUCAUACUACCACUAAGCAUGAUUUAAGCAUCAAUAAAGGGAGAAGAGUAGUUCUUCACAACUCACCUUAGAAACAAGAGAGAGAGAGAGAGCAAUAAGUCCUCUUAGCUUUCCAAAUAACUCCACACAACACCUCACUAUCACUCCCUUAAGUGGUUUUAUGGAGCACAAACAAGAUUGGAAGGUUGAGUGAGUUGAUUGAAGCAAGAUUGAAGCCAAAAACUUGAAGAGUUUUCUUUCUUUUGUUGCUCAAGGAGCUCUGCCAAGAUGAAGAGAAAAUGGUGAAGUUUUGGUUAUUUUUUUUAUUUAUUUGGUCAAUGGUAAGAAAAUGAAUAGUGGUCUUACAAGUCCCUCCAACCAAAAGAUGACACUUGUCACUUAUUUAAUGCAUCUCUAUCCUUUUGUUUCCUCUCAAACCAAUCCAAAUAGCAACCUCUACUUAUCUCUUAACACUCGAUAAUUUAAACCCAAUAUCCAAAACUUAACCCAGUUGGCCGAAUUUUUCCGAACUUUUCGCACUAGUGGGUCCCACGUCCGGUAUACGCUCUUAAUUUCUCAAAAACUAUUCGAUACUAGAAAAAUCACCUAAAAACUCUAUCUGCUCCUUAAAAAUAUCUAGAAAUUUUCCUAAUCACGAAAAUGCAGAAAACAAGCCUUUUAAAAUAUAAUAAACCUGGAAAAUGAAAAAUUACGGGUUCUCACAAAAAUAAUAUUCGGAGUAAAAGGCCAAAUAAAUAAUUAAAUAAGCUAGAAAUAGGAGAUUAAAUAAGUAAAUUUUUUGCGAGUCCUCACAGAUAAAUAAUUUAGUUUCCUUAAAAUCUAUGAGGGUGCAUUGUGAUUUUUUGAAAAAAUAAAUUACCAAAUAAGUCAUAGCCCUAUUUUUUGCCUCAGAAUUAUCAGUACAUAUCUGUAUAACAUGUUCUUCUAUAUAAUCAUCGGAGUGCCAUGAAUUUUAAGAAUACUAAAAUCGAAUUACAUCACUCGGACCUAUAAAGGAAAAAAAAUAAACAGUAACUUGGAGAUGCAAUAAUAAUAAUAAUAAUAAUAAUAAUAAUAAAAUGAAAAUCAAAUGAAGCAUUGAAAAGUAAUCUCAUCCCUAUUUUCACCGGUUGUGGCAUUUGUUGACCACAAAUAGGCAUAUCAAUGGACCCGGUCUUAACCAAAUCUAACCCAAACCCAAUGUACUUGGGUAGGGUUUGGAUUUAAUUUCUCAAAUCCAGACCCUAUCUAGAUUCAAACCCUGUAAAAGAGUCAUGGGUCUGGAUAGGAUGUGAUUUUCUAAGAUCCAUAUCCAAAUUCAAACUCAUACCAGAACCUACCCAAACCCAUGUAUAUAUAAUUAAAUUUUACACACACGCAUAUAUAUAUUAGUAAAUUUAUAAAAUAUUCUCAUAUUUUAUGGUUAUUGGAUCAAAUACUAUAAGACUUCAUAAUUGUUUUCUUUUUUCAACCUAAUCCUAGUUGUCAAUAAUUAGUACAAAAUUUUUCAAAAAAAGGAGAAAAAGUAAAGGCAAAUAAAUGAAAGAUUUGAUAUAGAUACAGUUGAAAUUUUAAUAAUAAAUAGAAGUAGUUGAGGAUAGUUAUUUUUUUGGAGUUCAUAAUACUACAUUCAACUUCUUGAAUAUUAAUUUUAUUAUUUAAAAAUAAAAAUUGGAUGGCAUUUAUAUUUUUUUGAAAUCUAUAUAUUUUUAAUGUAUUUUUAUUUUAGAGCGUUUACAAAAAUACAAUGGAUAUCCAUUAGAUACCCAAAUCCAAGAGGGUCUGAGUUUGAAUUUAUUUUUUCAGACUCAUAAGGGUUUUGGUCUGGGUCUAACUAAAUUUAAUGGGUCCGGAUCUGGAUCAAAGGGAUCCAAUCCAAAUUCUAUCCAUUGACACGGCUAACCACAAAUCAGGAUGUUACAAUUAAUACUUCUUUUUUUUAUACAUAAAAUAGAAACCCUUAUUUUAACUCAAACUUCCUUGAAAACAAAAAUACAUAAUACUUUCACUCAGUCAGUAUCUAAACCUGUUCUGACACAAUUGAGUCACUUGAUGAGCUACCUAAUUUCUCCUCCAGUAAUCUACCGUUCUUUAACAUCCACAAUUGCCCAUAUGCCCAAAAAUUUUUGACAAAAUUUUUCCCUCCCCAAAUUCCCAUCCCUUCUGCACAAAAGGAAAAAACAAACCAAAAUUAUGCACCAAAUAAUGGAAAAAUGCACCAAAUUAUGGAAAGUAUAAGCACAUACACAAACUCUAUCAAACCUAGUAUAUCAUCCAUUAUGUGAAACAAUACAAAUAAUUAAUUAGAAAUUACUACUAAAUUAUACUUACUCUUGUGUAUGCUUUGCUUUUCUUUUUCUUUUCAAUAAAUUUUGGAUUUGUAGUUGCUUGCACGAAGAUAUGGGAGAUACAGUCUUGCUAAUUGUUGUGGCAAAUGAGGCUUUCCUGAGUCUUUCAGGUUAUACUAAAGAACCCAGAACUAAACCUCCAAUUGAUAUAGUCUAACACACACAAAUAAUAGAGUUCACUAAAAAAUUUAAUGAAAUUUGGGAAAAAAAUUUACUUACCUCAUCAAAAGAUCAUUAUGUAACGACAACUAUAAGAUCAUCACGAAUUUCUUUUGAGACGUAGUAGUAAUCAAAUUAAAGAAUUUUUUUCCAAAUGAUAUAAUAACGGUAAUUGAGACAUAGGCAAAACAUUCGAGAUAUGUACUUAUAGGUGCAAGCACAAGUGCAAAACAGAAUAUGUAAAGAUCUUGUAACCUUCGAUUGCUAUCAUCACCAACUGCUAUCUUCACCAAUUUUCAAACGAAUAUUAUGUUCAACAGUUUUUCAAUAAUUUUCUUGGCAAGAUAUGGUAACCAUUAACAACAAACCGAGAAGGAAAAGAACAAUUAUCCAUUGACACGAUGGUUUUUUUAUUUUUAAAUUGACAUGAUAGCUUUUUUUUUUUUUUGAAAUCAGAAGAUACAUAACAAAACAAUGGUUCUUGACAUCGAUUAUGAUGAGGAUGGCAUAUAAUAAGGAUAAUCCUAAAUCUUAAAUUUUGUAAAAGAAAAGAUAAAUAACAGAUUAAGUUGUUAGUUAAAAUGUGAAAUAGGUGAGGCAUUUGAUUGGAAGGAGAGUUGGAUUGAGUUAUAAACUAAGAAAGUAUGUAAUUUAGAAGAUUUUGAAAACAAUAUCUCCAACUUACAAAGAAAAAAGGAGGAAGAAGAGAGGGGGGAUGUGAGUCAUCGGAUUUGGGAGGAAUAAAAAGAGAUCGUCGAGUGUUUCAGGAGAAGCGCUGACAGUAAUUGCUGCCGGCUUAAGCCAAGUAGAAAAGAGGGUGACUUUAUUUUAUAUAUAUAUAUAUUUCUGUCAAGUAUUAACGUCCCUGUAAAACCUCCCCGUGCGAUUCAGAAAAAUUGCAUGCUUAGAGCGUUGAAAGAAUGGAAACGAUGUUUUGACCAUAUCUGAUUCGACAGAGCUUGAUUUCAACCAUUAAUAAACACAGUCAAUUCUUACCAAUUAUUUCUUAAUUUAAAAAAAAUGAAAAAAUGGAUCAAUCUUCUGUCGGGCCAGUUAACGUUGUGUUUGGCUUGGGCUCAUUUGACAUGGUUGUUCUGUAAAGCACGUAAAGUUUGACGCUCAACCAGAUUAGUGGUGUAUGAUAUUUCAGGCGUGCACUCUUUGUUUGCGGAUGCGGAUAUUCUGCUGAUAAAGUUCGGAUAUCAGAAGGGCUCCAGGCCCAAAUAAACACUCAUAGGAGUGCUUAAAAUCCAAGGGAGGAUUGCUCCCGAGUUCGGGGGUUCAGUCCGCUUCUUCUACUGAAGAAAGUCAGCUGCUCCCGGUGGAGCUGGUAUCAUCCGCACCUUCAUCUGACUCCGACAGGGUUCCCUUAAGCUCCUCGACUGCCUUGAACAGCAGGUCCAAUUCGUGAAUGAAUCGAUGGCUCCCCAUGCGAAGUACGAAGUACAUGCCGAGUAGCACCACGUGCUCCAUGCCGCAGUCCCUCACGACCCUGAAGAAUCCGGUCAUGUCCCUCAUGUUUGCCAUUUUUUCCUAACCUUCAAAACGCACCGUAUCGAGCAGUUCACUAGAAUGGGUGUGUCGAGCAAGGAAUGCCACGUAUUUAUCUUUGUCUCACUCUGCCACAUGUCGAGCAUCGCGGCCACCAGGCCGGGGACGCGUGUCGUCCAUCCCGACCAUAGCGGGAGUAUUCAAAAUUCGAUCUCUGACGUGGGCGGGAAAAUUUCAAAUUGAAUUUCAUUUUAAUUUUAAAUUCGAAUUGCAACAGUGCCACCGGGCACUAUGCUACUCCACCCACUGGCACUGUGCAUCAGUGCGGGGCCGGGCUCUCCCGAGCGGCCAGUGGCCUUCGGCCACAUGGCAAGAAAGUACAGCGGCCCACGUUCCACUAUAUUACCGAAAUGCCAUUGGGUUGAAUUGAUCUCAACCGUCCAAUACGUGACCUCACCGAAUACGUCCUGGAAGUUGGGCUUACGCUGAUCACUGGGCUCACAGUCCAGAACAAUGAAUAUGCCCAAUAUGCCGUCGAUGGGCCCACUACGGUGGGUCCCAUGUCCGUCAUCCAUCAAGGCAGCAUCACUGCCGAUCAGCACGCUUCCGUCAAUGUUAAUGGAAGUGACCCUGCAUUUGUUUUCAUAUCUACCCCCGUCCCUGGCCUAGUUCCGAGAGCUUCAUAUAAUCGUACCACACGGCCUCACAAGCUACGCCUUCAUCAAGAUCGAAUGUCUCGUCUAUCAUCCCGCUUUGCGCAAAGGGUCGCUUCCUGCCUCGCAGGAACAGCCUUGCUCUCCUUUCGAAAUUGGGGCCUGCACUCGAUGCACCACCGGUGCUGCUGAACAGCCUCUUCCUUCGAGUGAUGGGUUUGAGAGGAGUGCCGGGACCAGCAUACCUCUUCGUUCCUCGACUUCCCAUUCUUUCUAUCGGAUGAAAUGUGACAUCCCUUCUGCUAAUUAUAAGACAAUUUAUAUCACGUAUUUUCACCAUUAUGCCGGCACCACUAUUAGGUCUUAUGUGUUUAUUAACAUAUCUAGUCUAUGUGCGAAUGUCAUGGCUUUCCAAUUGAGUUUCAAUUGUUGACGUGGCAUCUUCUGAUUGGCCAAUUGAUGGUAGUCCUCCAUUGAUUGGGAUAAUGAAUUGAAUUGAGGAUAAAAUCGAGAUUUCACGCCUUAAUGAAUAGGUAGGGUUCCUGAGAGUCUUCGCUUGCGCCGCUUGUUCUACCGGUCUCCUCACCCCUUUUUCCAAAACCCCUCUAUUUCCUUUUGUCUCAUCUCAUCUGAGAGUAUGACUGACCGCUUCCAUUCCUUCCAUGGAUUUCCUCCAUUUUUUUCUCUAAAAAAAAGAAAAGAAACAGACUAACAGCACACCAUUUCUAUUCUCCCUUUCUUCUUCAUUUUUCCCCUCUUUUAAAGAUUAUUCGAAAAAAUGACGCUCAAAACCCACCUUUUAUUCUCUCUCUUUUUUUGUUCUUUUUGUUUCCUUAUCUUGAGAUAGGAGAACCUCGAAGAUUUGGUUGAUCUUGAUUGCUCAACUGCUCACAUUUGGAUUUUCUUUUUCUGUUUCUGAUCUCCAUCCCUUUUCCUCAUAAACCUAUGAUUUUUUUCCUUUUCUCUACACAGAAAAAUUUCUAUUUUCUCUCAAUUAUUUUUCUCUUUAUUGAGACAUGAUUACUUUGGAGAUCUUUCUUAUCUAAUUUAUUUUCGAUCCGCUGAUCUCGCCAUUUUUUAGUUUUAAAAUUUUCCUUUAUUUUGACUGAUUUUCUUUAUUCUCUAAUCAAUUUCAUGUUUGUUUCAGGGUGCAAGUUUAAGGUUUGCAUUUUAUUAUCUAGUAUCUUCUGUGAGGACUCGUAAAAAAAAACUAUUAUUUUAUGCCUAAUUUAUGGCUUAAUAAAUUAUUUAAUUAGAUUUUUGCCACGAGGAAUAUUUUCUAGUCUUAUUAGACCUAAAUACAUGGUAAUAUAACUUCGUUAUAUUUUUAAAGAGACUCGUUUCAAGAAUUAAUUUCCUGGAGUGCGUUUAGUAAAAAUAGUGAAUAGUACUUGGAGAUUUUAUCUGCGUAGUAGCACAAUAAGCUUGGAAUAUUGGAGACUUGUACUAUGGUCCUAAAAUAGGUAAUCUUAUGAAUAAAUACUCAAGUGAUAGUUAGUAGUGCAAUCGUUAUAAGAAAUUCUCGGAGGUUUCGCGUUAUAGCGUUAAAAAUUGACGGUACGCGUCUUCGCACGCGCGACUUUAUUUGAGGGACUUUAGACCCUUAUUUCGGGACAAUUAAAAGUAAAUAAUAUUUACAUGAAUAUAAAUGCAUUGGAGGUUCAGUGCACUAGUGAACCAAACAUGCGAGAAAAUCGAGCCCCAAAACGUGCCAAACAAGCCCUAAUGAGGGUUGACUUUGGAGUGAAUGUGCACCACUCAUUUAAUCUUCUCUUGGAAGCUAACUUUGAUCAAAAUUCACUCCUUCUUCUCUCACCAAGCAGCCGGCCAACCUUCCCUCUCUCUCACUCUCUUGCUUCACAAAUUCCUUCAUCAAAUCAACCCAAAACUUCAACCAAUCUUCACCAAACUUGAAGAUCAUCUAGCAAACUACUUGGAGGUUGGAUUUAGCUAACUAAAGGGCUGCAUUUCACGGUUUCUUGGAGCUCUUGAGGACCAAAAAUUUCUGGGUUAAGGCACUAAGGAGGUAUAACUUCAUCCUACACCUUAAACUUGGAUUAUGAUGGUAGAAAUGCAUCUUUAAGUUAUUGCAUGUGUAUGGAUGGCUUGAUAUAGUUGGAAAUUGUGAAAGUGGGCUCUUUGAAUUCCCACACUUGGGUUGUUGUUGCUGAUUAGAGGAUUAAUGUUGGAUUUAAUGGUAGUUUAGUGGUUAAAAUGAUGGAUUUAUGGAGUAUUAUUGUUGGAAACUCAAAGUUGAGGUCAUGACAAAAAAUUUCCGAAACUGCCCCUGUUUUGUUCGGCCAUGAUAAGGCCCAUUUUUGGAGAUUUAUUGGCGUGAACCUGAUGUUUAUAUGUUAUAUUAUAUGUGCAAAAAUUUUCGUUGGAAAACAUUAACGUUUGGAUGGGCAAAUGAAUUUAUUCGUGGACUAUGCAAGCUGGAAAGUUAUUUUCGGGUAACCCUGUCCAGCGGUAGCAUUUUGACCAUAACUCUGUCCUCGGGUGUCGAAAUCAAGUGCCGUCGGUGGCGUUUGAAACUAGACAUUCCUGGCUUUAAUUUGAGAUAAAUUCACGUUCUGAUUCUUUGUGAGUGAGCCGAACCAAACGUUUUAAGAUAGCUGUCCUGUCUCUCGGAUUUGCUGGAAUGGUUUGUAGAGGCAGCAACUUGAGGCUCAAUUUCGAGCUGGUUGCUUGCCAAAUUUCAGAACAUUUCUUCUGUGAACUUUUAGUCCUAUGAAUGUAUUUUCUAACGCCAUAAACCAUGCCUCAUUCCGGGUUAAAUUGAUUGAGUUGUGACUAAAACAAGAGGACUGUCCUGUUUUGGAAAAACGUAAUAUUUGGACUGAUUGGGACAAAAACUUGGGAGUGAUCUUAUUAAUUGAAAUUUUGAUGCUAAACCAUUACCAAAGGUAUCAUGGAUGUAUCUUAGACCUUUAUUUCACCAAUGAACCAUGGAUGGAUAGCUUUCUUGGUUAAACGAUUUGAAUUGGGAAAUGAAAGUCAAAAGGCAGAUUGCCUUAGAAUUUUUCCUGAACUUUGGUUGACUAAUUAACUAUCUUUCCGAAGGUAUUCUUCCCUGAAAUUUGAUAGAACGGUACCUUUCAUAUAGGAGUAAAAUACUGCCAAUUUUGGUACCAAUCCAAGUUCGUUUCGAUACCUAAUUAAAUUUCUAGUGUUGGAGGUUCAAAUCUGGAAAUUCUUCUCCAGUCUUGAAUUUCCCCAAUUUCGAGCUACCGUAUCUCGGUACUCGAAACUCCGAUUCUUGAUCCGCUUGCUUUUCUAUAAACCUCACUUGCAACACUACUUGAGUUACGAAUUUCAGAGGCCGGUUCGCAACGUGUGAAUCGUGCCGAAUUUUCAAAGUUGGCCGAAAUCCAACUUAAUUCUGCCUUGUACGCCGAGUCUGUACCUUCAAGCUCAUUUUUGAGUACUUUUCACUUAGAUUCAUGGAAAGGUGUCUUCUAAGAACUUUUAACAAUUUCCAAAAGGUUUCCAACGGUAUAAAGUUUUCCAGUUUUGGGCUUAUAUCGAGAGAGAUUCGAAUUUUCAAAGAUUUAGGAUAAAACUGAAAUUUCUCAAUUUUCAAGGCAAAGGAUUUUUUCCAAAACUCUUAAUUCUCUUAGUAUUAUUCAAACGUUUUGCCCUCGAUUUUCAUGAUAAAAACUCAAAUAAUAUUUUACAUAAUAAAAGGCAAGUUGAACCUCGAUUUACGAGUAAUUGAGGUUCCUUUUGUGAAAUAAUCUUUAGAUUGUACUAGUGUACAAUCUUCCUUGAUAAUUGGAUUAUUGAGUGAUUAUCCACUAUUAAUUGCCAGGCGCACAAGGAGACCUUCAAGAGGAUCUCACAGUGGACACUUGAAUUCCCAGAAAAUAAUUCUUAUUGAAUUGCUCGGUGAGUGUCAAGUGUGUGAAUCUUUGAUACUUGCUUAUUUGUGGUAAUUGUUGGAAGUUUUAAAAAUAAGGGCGGGUGCGUACUUUAUCGCACCCGUUCUAAUUUCAAAUGAAUGAUUGAAAUGUAUUGAAUGAAUGAAUGAAAUACAAUGUUAUGUUAUGAUUACAUAUGUCAUUGGAGUGAACCUCCUUGACUUUCAAAUGAAUGGGGGACGCCCAAACUCAUAGGCCGACCUUAGACUCGAGCCGGCAAUGGGCUUGGUCGGGGACUUGGGCGAGCCAUGAGAUAUAUAUAAGCUCGACCUAAUGAGAGGUCUUGCUUGGCAUACUCGUGGAGUAUCACCUUAUAAAUGACUUGUGGGCCCUUGAGGUGUACGGUGGACGGAGGGAAGUAAGUGGUGAUCUACGGAAAUGGAAAUACUGACCCGGUUGACAGGAGGGUCAACGCGGGAAGGUAUAUGAAUGACAUCGGCAGAGCAAGUGGAACUUAGCUCCUGAGAGCUACUAUAUCCUUGAAUUGUUUCUGAUUACUUUUCCUGUUCGAAUGAUUGAUUAUUGAAAGGACAUGAUUUUAUUUAUAAAAUUUGGGAUUGCUAUUUGAACAAAGUGCUUGCAUGUGUGUUCUUGGCCUCACGAGCGUUUAGCUCACCCUAUAGUUUUGUUUUCCUUAACAGGACUGAAUCUCGGAGAAGUUUGGAGAAACCCUUCGCUGUACUUUUGUUUUAAGGUUUCUAUUAUUUGUGGCUAUGUCCUUUGUUGGGAUUGUACUUUUGGAAUUGAUGUGUAACUUUUGGGCCUGACGUAUAUUUCGGAUUUAAGUUGUAUCUUGAACGCCCUAUCUAUGGGUGGGGUAAUGGAUGAUUUUAUGCUUGAACGCUUCCGCAUUAUUUGUAUUCAUGUUGCUCUCUUUGAAGUGUUUAGUUCGGUUUUAAAUUGAAUGGAAUUGCUUGAGUCCUGGCGAGAGCUGGGCAGGCGUCCGCGGACACCCUUUGGUUCGCCUUAGGGAGAUGUGGGGCGUCACAUCUUCAAUCUCUACAGAACCCGUUAGAUAAGAGAUCUCACAUAAUGUUUAUUUUUCUCAUGGCUUUUUUGACUAUGAUUAUUUUGUUCUUAUGGAAUUUUUUGUGAUUAUAUCAGGUAAAAAAAACAUAAGGAAGGCCACUGAAGGAGGAAUUACAGUUAGUUUCUUGCCCAUUCAUUUUUUUGGGUUAUUUGGCUGUGAUAAUAUAGUGUUUUUUUUUACUCGUUUCUUCCUUCAACUAUAAUAUGAGAAAAUCCAAUAUUGUUCAUACUGGUAUCAACUAUUUUUUUUGUUAGAAAAGUUAUGGAUCUAAAGCUUCGUUCCAACCAUAUUUAUUUGUUGCCCCCAUCCUCCUUUCUGAGCGCAUAUUAUAUUAGAGAUGAAAAAUAAUCAUUAUAGGGUUUUCUUUUGUAUGGAAUAAAAUUUGAUCAUAUUUCUCCCAAGGACGGCUUUAAGGUAUCCUGCAAUUUGGGGCUCUCUUUCUGGAAAAUUUUGUUUAUUGCAUGUGAAUUAAUUUCCUCGAUCUCUUUUUUUUUCAUCUUUUGGUUGGCAGUGAUCUCUCCAUACCUUUGCUACUGGUUUUAUUGGUCUAAGUUUUAAUAGUUCUCAUCGAGUUGUAUUUAUAUUUACUUAGUUUGCUUUUAUUUUUUGCCGUUUCUUUGAGAGCCCUUAUACAAACUUAUGGUUUGUGUGAUUUGCUGGUUUACUUUCAGCUACUACAUUUCUCAUUGUUUUUGGAUAAUUGUUUAAUAACCAUCUAUUUUACUUAUUUGUUUUCAGGUUCUCUUUGUGAACUCUUUACCCUUUCUUCCAUAUUUUUCUUGCACGAUGGGGUGGAAUAGUUGCAAGCUAUCAGAAUGUAUCACUUCAAGAGGUGGAAACAUUUUCAAUUCUGAUAUUUUUGUACCUGAGCACAAGAAUGUAUAGCAGGUCUGUUGCUCUAUCAUGUACUUAAUUGUAUUUUAGCACAUUUCAAUUCCAAGUAAAUAAGCUCAUUUUAUGCUUUCUUCUUUUGGAAUAUUUGGCUUAUGUUUGAGGUACUAUUUGGGUAGGUUUAGCUUGAAGUUAUAGUCCCUUUUGUGAUUUGUCCCUCAUCCUUCAACUGGUGGAUUAUGUUUAUUAGAUUUAAUGACGCAUGGUUUCUUUUUUUCAUUAACAAGACCUUUGUUCUUCUGAUCUUUUGCCUCUUAGAAAAGUAUUUUGUGUCACUGAUAUUUUUUUAUCUGAUUUGCAUUUUGAUGUUAUUGCCUUUGUAGGAAGGAAGAUGACAGCACCUACCUUUCAUUCUUUUCUGUUCUGUAGAGGUAUAUUCUUUUGAAGCUUUUUUUUAACUAUUUUUGGCUGAUAAGAAUGUUCUUUUGAUUUUUGUUUCUCAAGUCUCAAAUCUUUUGAAUUUUUUUUGUCUUACCAUUAUUUUUGUAGGAAGCAAGAGGAAUUUAUCACUGUCUGAAAAAAAAAACAUUUUUUGAGUAAAUAGACUCGUCAAAAAAGAACACUGGAUAUUCAAAUACUAUCUGAGUAGCAGUAUGAGUUAUUAAUCAAGGCGCUCAUACCUAAUGACCUCAAUUUUUGUGAUUUAUCCCUUUUGAGAAUUGGUGACUUCAUGUUAGUGUUUCUCUCGCGUUUUAGAUUGUGGUCAAGUAUUGGUUGUUUUAUAACGAUUAUAGAAGAAUCAGGUUUUAGAUUUAGAAAGGCUUUUUUUCAAUAACAUAAUUCUACUAAAUCUACUACGUUGUUUGGAGAUGUGGCAAAAUUAUCAUAUCACAUUGUUUGGAAAUUUUCUUGUGUUGUUAUAAGAAGAGCGAAAAAUUUUCAGAAAAUGCUGAUUUAUUCUUAUAAACAUUUUCCUUUUUGACUUAUCAGAUGUUACCAGAAUUCUUAUGUAAUUCUACGUGUCCUUUUAUGUAGUACAUUGCAUUUGGAUCCAUUUGCUUAAGGUGGUCCGAACCCUUUCAUGUAUUCACCUAUGAUGCAACAAAAAAAGUAUUUUUGGUCCUUAAUUGUUGCUAGUGUAAGGUUUAGGUCCUUUGUUUAGGUUUUAGAUUUAGAAGCCUUUUUCUAAUAACAUAGUUCUCCUGUAUCUGCUACAUUGUUUGGAAAUGUGGUAGAAUUAUCAUAUCACAUUGUUUGGAAACUUUCUUAUGUUGUUAUAGGAACCACGAAAAGUUUUCAGAAAAUUCUGAUUUAUUCUUGUAAAUAUUUUCCUUUUUGACUUAUCAGAUAUUACCAGAUUUCUUAUGUAGUUCUACGUGUCCUUUUAUGUAGUAGAUUGCAUUUUGAUCCAUUUGCUUAAGGUGGUCUGAACCCUUUCAUGUAUUCACCUAUGAUGCAGCAAAAGUAACUUUGAAGGUUUUUUUGGUCCUUAAUUGUUUGCUAUUGUAAGUUUUAGGUCCUUUGUAUCUGUUUAGAUUACAAACUAUUUAUUUACUUCAAAAAGUGGCUUAGGGACGAUGUUUUGUCCUAUUGCAUCAAUGUGAUUUGGAUGUGAAAUUUUGAAACAAAAAUUAGGUGUUUAGUGCUUAAUUCCUAUUGUUUUACUUCUUUUUUGCGAUUUAACAUAUGCUAUGCUAGAUUUGAUGGUGUAGCAUAAGAAUUUUAACUAUAUUUAUUUUCUACUAAAUCCCAGAUGUUUAUUAUGGGUUGAGAUAUUAAGAUUUACAGCAUAGUACAAAAGGAUUUUGGAAAUUGUUUUCUCAAUGUGAAUUUUAUUUAGGCCCUUUUUUUGAACAAAAAAAUGUUAAUCUGUUUAGUGUAGAUCCAAGGUUUUGUCUUCUUCAUUUUUCCCCCUAAUAAAUUUGCUCUUGCCAGCAUUUUUUAUUCUAAGUCUUUGUUAGAUGAAGGAAGAAAUGAUAAAGGAGGCUACUUUUCUUCAGUAAGCAUUGAUGAUAUGUUUUAAUUUCCUUUUUUUGUGUGAACAGAUUUUUUUCAUUGUAACUGGCUGUAACUUUAUGCUUUCUUUAUCCUGUUAUUGGUCUUUAAAAAAGUGAAGGGUGAAAAUUUGAGACGGCAUCCUAUUUCCUCGAGAUCCCUUUUACUUGUUUUACUUACUCCGUUUUUAUUGUUUUGAGUUCUCUGUUUGAGAAUCAUACAACCUAAUUUCUUUUUUGCAGAAUUCAACUCGGACAUAUUAUUGCUUGUACACUUGCUGUUCGGCUUGUAGUUUUGCUUGUUUCCUUUUUCUAGAGAUGUUAGUCUUGUUUUUGUUUUUUCAGCUUUUGGUUAUUUGUCAACCUUAUUGAUAGGUUGCAAGAUUUACUUUUCUUUUUUUUUUAUCAACUCAAUAGUGGCAAGGAGAGUAAACUAAUUUGUUUUCUUAGGUAAUUUGUAGUUUGCCUUUUGUUGGAACUUUAUUUUGGUUGGCAAUGUCAACCUAGCCAGUUACCAGUGCCACUGGUAAUGAAGCUAUUUUUUAAUUCUUUGUAAUGAUGAUGAUCCUUAAAGGAUAUCAAUAAAUCAAAUUUAUUGGCUUUUUGAUGGUUUAUUAGAGGGUGUAGUUUUAUAUUGCAAACUUCAAUGGCAUUUCUUACUGAAGUUUUCUUAUUGGAUUGGAUGAAUAUUUUGUCAAUGUCGUGAACUUUACUUUUUUUAUUUCAUUCGGUAAAACAAUAGUUGAACUCUAAAGCCAUCGUUUUGUUACAAAAUAAAAUGGGUAUAUUUGAUGUCCUUUUUGUAACUAUUGCAAAGAUUUUGAUACAUCUUAUGUAACUUUUUAUAAUUAAUUUUUUAAUUUGAAUAACUGAAUGUUUCUGGGCAAGCUUGAAAAUUACACCGCGCAUCGCGUGGUGUUCUCCUCCUAGUUUUUCUUUAAAACGUGGCCAGCAUUAUCGUGUUUUUAAACAAGCUAACCUCAAAGCAGUUCACUUCUUCAAUCUAUAAUGGCUAUUUGUGAGUUUGGGAUAGAAAAGAAAAUAUGGGAAAUGUUAAGUUAUGAAAGAAAAGAAAGGAAAAAAAUAAGUCUUAUGUUAUUUGGGAGUUUUAAGAAAGAAAUGGAAGUAUUUUAGACAUACAUGUCAUUAAAAUUUCUUUCAAUAGCCAUCUAAGGACAAAAUCGGCAUUUAAAAAAUUAGUGGGCUUUUUUUUUAUUAGCAGUAGGACAAAUUAGUGAGCUUAUUCUAUCUUUCCGUCGUUUCCUUCCCAUAUUUGGGUUGAAAGUUUCCUUCAAUUGGUUACAAAAGUAUUCCAUCCUUAAAAAUCUCCCGAAUGACAAAAAUCUUCCUCAAUUUCUCACUUUCCAUUUUUUUUGAUGAAAUCUCAACUCCCAAAUCAGCUGUCAAUGAAAGCAAGACAAGAGCCUAAAAAUUCUUAAUUUAGGGGUUCAGGAAUAAAUUGAUUCAAAUCACCUUGUUUUUGAGCCAUGUUGAAUGGACAUGAAAGUUAAUAGGUCCAAACCUCAAGAAUUUGAUGAUAAUUACUUGAUAAUAUUUUUGAACAAAAUAUUUUGCCCCCUUCAAAACAAUCAAUGAAUCAAAUAUCCAAAAAUCUUGUGUUUAGAUAAGAGAUUAUUUAAAAUAUUAUUUGAAAUAAUUACUAUAACACUUAUUGUAAUGUGAUAUAUAUGAUAUAAAAAAAGUGAUUAGAAAGAUCAAAAUGUGUUUGUAAUGCCAGAAAAUAAAUUUUUGACAAAUAAUUCCUAUCCAAAACACACUUAAUUGCCCGCAAUAGUUUAAGACACAGCGAAAAUUUUGUGUUCUAUCUCAAUUAGAGUAUACAUAAAAAGGCACAAAAAGUACAAAGAUAAGUAUGCCGAAUAAUUUGCAUUGACUUUGUAGCCUUCAGCACCUAAGGUUUGUGUCAAAGACUUCAUCAGGAACAUGCAGUUUAAAUAGACGUGUGAUUUAAGGCAAGUUUGGGAGUUUAAGAUAGAAAAGACAAGAAAAGAAACCCUAAGUUAUGAAAGAAAAGAAAAGAUGAGAAAAGAAAAGAAGAGAUUAUAGUGUUGUUUGAGAGUUUAAAGAAAGAAAUGGAAAGAUUUUAGAUAUAUAUGUCAUUAAAAAUUUGUUCAAUAACCAUUUAAGGAUACAAUUGGUAUUUCAAAAAAAAAUCUAUAGUCACUCUUCCACUUUCCAUCCAAAUCAGCCUAAAAUGGGUAGAAUGUUUUUCUCUACUAUAGCCUCAAAACAGAUCCAACCAAAUCAGCUCAUUUCCCUUCUUUUCUGACACAAAGAAUUUCCCAAACGGUGAAAAAUUGAUUCUGUUUAUCACUUUCUUUUCUUUUCUGGCCAAAUCUCUCCUUCCAAACGCACUACUAGUUAAAGAUGGACAACAAUUUUGGGUCUUUUUUAUGUUUAUAUGAUUGUUUCAUACUUGUAAUUAUUUGGUUAAUAGUACUGAAUAUUAGCUUCAAAGUGAAAUAUGGGUGAGUACAUGGAUUAAGUUCCUGUUUCUACAAAACUGGUUAAAUUUGGUGCAUAAUUUUCUGUAACUGACGUAUGACAAGCUUGUCAUUAGAUUCCUUUUUUUGGUGCCUGAUGAAGUUGUAGCCACUUAAUUGUCAUGUGAUGGUAAUGGGAUCGCAAUUCACUUCAAUUUUUGGGAUAAUUUCUUUUCUAGGCCGACGGACGAAGAUAUAUCUGCUUCUUCUUCCAUAUUCUAAUCCUAGUACUCCAUUCUUCUUACAGAAAAAGGAGCUCGAAAGGCUAAUUCCUAAUCAAAAAAAUGAUAAAAAGAAACGAAACUGCAUUUAGCACAAAAGAUGUUAUCCUUUGAUCCAGUUUUCUACGGGCACUUGCAUCUAACUUUAAAUAAAUUUUAGGGCAAAAUACACUUUUACUUUCCUAUGGUUUAGUAAUCCUUCACAUAUCUCCCCUAUAGUUUCAAAGUUAUAUAAUUCUCAUAAUUUGAAUUAAAGUGUCAAAAUGACGGAAACGAUUAUUUGUAAUGAAAUUUAUAAAAAUGUUGAAAUUACCCUUAUUUAAAAACUAAAGACCAAAAUAUAUAAAUAUAAUAUGCAUGAUAUUCUAAUCACGUAUGAUUUUAUAUUUACCAUAUAACCCCCUUAUAAUUUAGUACUUUAUCAUAUAAUCCUUUUAUAGUUUUCAAAAUAUAUACAUAAUCCCCCAAUAGUUAAUAAAUUUUAAUUGACUCUGUUGUGGAAUGUAAAUUCCAUCAAUUUUACACCUUAAUCCAAACCAUGAAAGUGUUAUGUAUAACUUUUGAAACCAUAUAGGGGUUAUGCGAAAAAGCGCUAAAUCAUAGGAGAGUAAAGUUACUUUGCCCUAAAUUCUAUUGGAAACCAUACUUCGGUUGCAGCAUAAUGGGAGUGAAGAGAAACAUACUUGGAUUGCUUUGAUAGCUAAUCCACUUCUACUCCCACUCUGACAGAAUUCUAUUAUCCUAGAUGGAGUCCCUCUCAACAAGAAUUCUAUCAUGUAAAAACUAGAAGAAACCAACUGAUCUCACUGUGAAGAUUCAUUUUGCAGGUUAAUUAUGCACCAACCUCCCAUUUGGUAUACAUUACGGAACGGCAAUGGCAAUAACUAUCAAAUAUGGCAGUGAGCUUUGAUAAAACCUUAGUGGUUGUUUGGUAUUUGUAAUCAAAAGGAAAGGUAUUAAAUUUUUUUUUCUUUUUCUUUUCCUUUCCUUUCCCUUUCUUCUUCCUUCUGAUAAUAAACCCUAACCUCGUUCAACCACCAUCACCACGACCACCGUCGCAACUCCACCAUUUUAACCUAAUCGAAAGUAUGUUGCCAACCAAGCAGCAUUAGUUACAGCUCUAUCUAAACAUUCAGAAACCAUAAAAGGAACCUUUUUCACUGCUGUUCCCCCGUUGGUGCAAUUCAUGAGAAGAGGACGACGCUCGGAUCUGCCCAUCUGAUAAGUACAACAGGUGAGCAAGAUUAGAAGCAUUUGACCAAGCAGCAUCAGUUACAUCUCUCUCUAAGCGCUGACAAACCUGUCCAUUGGUCCAAGUGAACUGUGAACCAUCAAAAGCAGCAUCUGAUAAACCCUGCACAUAUGUUUGUAAAGACAAAUUGAAGUCUUCCAUUUCAUGAACACAAGAAGCAGCUCCACCUACACGUUCCUUUGAGGGAGAAACAAGUUAAAAUCCUAAUAACCAGCCAAGGAUCCAACAUGGAUUCUGCCAAUAACUCCAUUGCAGCUCAUAAAUCUCUAGGACCAGUCCAAGAGCACAUAGCAUACACGACAGAAGAGUAUAAUGGCUGACUAGAAGAUAAAGAGAUAUGAACAUGCAAUAGCUCAUCAGCUUAGGAUGAAAGUGAACAAUCAAUAAAACCAAAUCUUGCCACCGAGAAAUAGCAUGAGUUCGACAAACAUCAGCAGCACAUCUCACUGAAUCCAUUCGAGACUUUUGAGUAUCACCUCUAAUAGUCCACACUGAAAACUUAAGAGGCAUAUAUACAUAUCAACACAACAUUUAAAGUGGUACUAGAAAUUACUUUAAUUUCUUAUUAGAGUAAUGGUUUACAAUGCUACUUUACUUAUCCCGGAAUUGAUCAUUGUGCAUGUGAUGAAUUUAAGAUAUUUUUUUUUCAAUCAUAAAACAUCCAUUUUUAAAAAGUAUCCACUAGUUUAUGAUUCACUUUAAGGCUGAAGAGUUUUAAAACAUCCUAUAAUUUUCAAUUAACUAGUACAAUAAAUACUCAAUCACAUGGAAAACUAGAAAAAGUCUUCUUCAAGUGACAAAGCACUAGAAUUUGGUAUAGAUUUGAAAUGAUAAUUUUUCAAAAACAACGGAUGGUUUUGAGUUGGAAAAAAUAAAUUUUGCCAUUAUGCUUUUGUACGCUAUAGAAAAAAGAUCAAUCAAUUUUUAUCACAUUAAAAUUUAAAAAUAAAAGCUUAAAACAAGUAUUAAAAAGCACCUAUAAUAGUGAAUCAGAGUGUUGCUUGGCAAAUUGACGAUAAUAUUUUGCUUGACAUGAAUUGCUGAGCUUUUAAAAUAAUUCUUAAUUAGUUCUAUUCAUGCUAAUUUGUAAUUGCAAAAAGUUGCUAAAAAACAAAGAACAGUAGUUUGUGCAGAAUAAUUGGGAAUAAUAUAAAAUAAAGUUUCUUCAAAAUGAAAGUCUUCUCUACAAAGUUUUUCACGUUAUGUUGACUUUAAAGCAAUUUAUAAAUUGCAAUAAUUACCCUUUCUUGAAUAAUUAAACAAUGGUUUAGAAGUGAAACAAUAUUAAGUUGUAAAUAUUUCCAAAAAACAAUUCCAUUCAGGAUUCAUCUAGUUUCGUCAAAUCCAUUAGCUUGAGAACUCAUAAAACUAAAAACUCAUGAUCACACAUAAAACACGACUGCAAAAUUCCAGCAACAACCUAAAUCUUUUAUUGGCAUAUUUGCAUGUAACCAAGUUGCAUGUGAGGUUGAACAAUUAACUUAUAACCUAUGGCUAUUUAAGAAAAGAAAUAUAUCUAUGGUUCUCUAAUCUAAUUUCAGUACUAGAUCGGUUAUCAUGAAUACUUAAACUUACAUCUAAAAUAAUUACCAAAACCAAUAAGAUAAAUCUCAUAAGCUAGCUUAUGAACUAGAUCAAAGAAAUUUGUUUUAAGACAGAAGUAUAUAUGCAUGAAUAAAACUUCUCGCAAACUUUGCACCCCAAGUACCAAUAAUAUCAUUUUUAUUUAAUAAACUUACACACUCCUAGCCUUGCCUCUCUUUCAUAUCUCACUUUAUAGUGUAGUCUCAUCUUCCAUUAAUGACGAAAUUUGGAACCCCAUCAUUUACACUUAACGAAUAAUCAUGUAGCAGGUUACAAAAACAUUCCAACUUUGCCAUCUUUGUUAAUUGGUUUGAUAUUAAUCCAAUCAAUCAUUAAUCAAAUAUUCUAGAACUCAUUCCUUCUUAUUACUUAAUUAAAUUCUAAACUCCCAAAUGACAAGUUUUCCUUCUCUGAUAUUAACCUUCAGAAUUAAUUCAAAAUCAUCAAUUUUUACUCCAAAUACUUAAUUCAUUCUUAUCAUUCGUUCCUUUUAAUUAAUCUAACCUGGUGGUUUUGAUUACAAAAGAACCAUUACGGUCCAUAUGCUACACGUGAAUAUACCUUCUCACAAGUUAUUAGGCCUAAUGUUUUUGUUCUUUGUUCAUUAUUUGUUCCACUCAGUAAGUUGUCAUGUUAUAUUAGUAGUUUAUAUUUCUAGAAGAACAGCUCUUUUAUAAUUCGUUCUAAAAGUCCUUGAAUAAUCUUAGAAUUAAGUUUUUUUUUUUUUUUGCUUCAACAUCAAAAUUACAUUCCGAAUUUUAACUAUACACUUAAAAAUUUAAACUAGAAUAUGUGGGGUGUCACUUCUUAUGUGCUUGUUUCUCUUUAAAAUGUGACCAGCGUUAUGACGUUUUUAAACAAGCUGACCUCAAAAUUGGUUCACUUCUUCAAUCUGUAAGUGAAAGCGAGACAAGAACCUGAAAAAUCUUCGAUUCAAGGGUUCAGGAAUAUCCAUUACAAAUUCCCUAUCCUUAACAUCAACACCCACACUAGAAUGGCUAAAAAAAAAUUCCACAAACACCUACUAGAUUCUCACCCUGUUCUCCUCAACAUUAGAUGUCGUUCAUGGCACCAAUACAUCUUGAAUCCUCUGAAAUUCACUUUGAAAAAUGUAAUAUGGAGCUUAAGGGGCAGCAAUCAAAUGCAACCUUGAUCUUGUAUGCAACCAUUUGUUGCUUUUAUAAAGAAAGACGAUUUUUAUAAUGUAUCAGAUUUUUCCCCAUAUAUUCAUCACCUUUUACACAUAACAAGGACUUCUACACAGAGGUUUUCUAUUAACAAUUUCAGAUUCUACCUUCACUUCUUUUGAACAGAAGCAUACCAAUUAUUUGGUAAGUUGGCAAAGAAAAAAUCCCUUCUCCAGAAAUUAGGAGACUACACACAAAAUUUACUUUGUACAAGUCUCCGUCAUCAGGUCAACGAUGAAUCAUGCGGGAAAGGGAUUGGAAGAUUCACCAAGGCAAAAGGAGAGAAAAGAAGCCCAAGAUAGUAGGAAAAGAAAGACGAGCAUGCCAGAAAAACAGCAAGUAGAUAAUUCUUCAACGGGUCAAUCAUGGCCAGGUAGUGUUCUUUAACCAGUCUGCCUGGGAAUCUGCUAUCACAUGAAUUCGUUGUGUUUUAAAUCACCUUCUAAGCUUUUUGGGGCGGAAUUACCCGUUAUUUGUAUUCUCUUCGUUCCAUGAAGGAUCCACAAUUGGUAGCCCAUACUCUUCAGGUUUGAGGGCCAAAGCAAAAUCAGGUAGCGUUGGCGCUGUCUCCAUGAUUCUACAAUGAAUUUUUCUAAUGUAAGUAUUACCUAGUAUGCAAGUAACGUGGAAUGUACCUAGAAUUGAGUUAUACAUAAUGCGUAGUCUUUGAUAUGUUUCUGCAUAAUGCAUGAGUAUACCCUCUAUUCAUAGAAAUAUAUCUGCGACACAUUUUUGUGUACCAGAAUUAAGAAGCUGAAAUAUGAGCUAUUCAAACAUAAUGAGAAUCCAAAUAGAAUUUUAUGAGCUGCAUCAGACCGUUAUACACAGAUGGGAAAUGGUUUCCAAAGUAUACUAGAAAAGAUAAAGGUUAACUAUUACUGUAAUAGAUAAAAUUUACUAAAAUGCUAUUGACAUCAUGGAUUGAGAGGGAAACAGAAAAACGAGGAGGUCAUAGUAAAUGGACUCCCUUGUAGUCAUACAACAGAAAUAAAUCUAAACUUAAAUAUUUCAAAUAUAGCAUAGAUCCAUGUUCUGAUGUAAACUUGCUCCCUCUACAUAUUACCUUUACUUAGCAAAGAAACAAAGAAGAAUGGCAAAUUAAGUCUACAUGUAAGAGUGGGUUCCAUAGUGUCAAUCACAAUGUACUCUCCUACUUGUCUCGCUUGAAGUGCUAUUAGUAAGGAAAUGAUUUUCCAAAGAUUAGUUAGUUCUGCAAUCAGUAUCCUAGACAGCAUCCCCCACUGUAUGCUGGGAUAUGUAAUGCAGCUUCUCCCAACCAAAUACCAAAGUGAGCAAAUAAGAACACUUACUUCUCAUGGGAAUACAGAUCCCUGUUGAUUCGCACCUUGCUAGAAGUAUCCUUUGGAAUUUUCUCAGACAGGAAUUUCAUGGUUCCCCAAAGAGGUGGAUUUCUGCAUUACAAAUGGCAACAGGUCAAAUUCAAAACAAACAUUUUGCUGCUAUCUUCACAAUGAACUAUCAUGACCAUGUUGAAUUUGUAGAGUUUAUAGACUCAUUAACUUAAUAACAUUCUUCUCCUUUUAAUUUCAACUUGAGUACAACCAUUCAGUUCCAAUUAGAAGGGCAAGAGGAGAACUACCAAAAUUAAUACCAUGAGGAUGGCAAGAGAACCAUAACUUACCCUAAUGCACAGACAUAAAUACACAUACUUAAAAGAAUUCUGCUAUACAUUUGGAUCCAUUGAAAAAGGAUGCCAGAGGAUUACCUAGAUAGAGGUAUUGCAAGGUUAAAAGCUUCACAUGCCUUUUUACUUUCUUUCAGAUACUCAUCCGCUGCUUGCAGAGCAGCCACUGCCAUUCCAUGAGAUUUUUCUGUGUUACCCUCAUCAAGAAUCAGACCAUGGUAAUAGUAAGCUGCAGCCUGGAUAAGAAUGCAACGUUGCACGAACUUAAGCUUUAGCAUCCACGAUGAUAAGCAUAACAACUCUGCUGACCUAAUGUCCUCUCUCUCUCUCUCUCUCUCUCUCUCUCUCUCUCUCUCUGGAAAAUGUUUCUUUUUGCCGUUAAUCAACUUUAGUAGGCAAUGAAAUUAUCAUCUCCAUUUUCAUACUCUAGUGGUGAACUUAAAACAACAAAACACUUUAUUUUUUUUUUUGUUAUAUUUUAUAUUAACCAUUUACCAGCCACAUAAUGAUAGUGUCUGGGCAGUGAUCUACUGUCAAAUUGCAGAAACAAAAGCACUCUAGCAUAAACAUCUUUGCCAAGAUUGCCAACCAAUUUAGAUAUCAGGUGAAUGAAAUUAUCAAGCUCUAGAAAGAAAAAGGAACUAAACGCAAAUAGUAAGCAAAAGUAAGCAAAGGCAAUCACAAGUUACCUUCGCCUCAAUAUACUUCCAUUUAGUGAAAAGUCUAUGCUUUUCUCCCCAGCCAUUUGAUAAUGGAAGAUUCAUUAUAUUAUCUUGAGCCUACAAAUAACAAAGAUGAGAUAAAUGUUCAUGUUGCCCAGUAAUCAGAAUUCACCAUGAUAGAGUUGCAUGACUUCAAAGCUUUCAAAAGAAUACAGAAUUGAAAAGAAAAGAACUAAAAUAGAGAUUUAAAGCUGAAAAGAAGUUCAGAGUAAGAGAAAAAGUGAAAUUGAAGCUCAAAGUAGAUAAUUACAAUAAACAUAUUGAUAUUAAACAAGCAAGAAAAGGGCUGCUAAAUUCAAUCACCAUGUAACAAGAUCAAAAAAUAGCCACAAGAAGUUAAUUCAAGCUAAGAUUCCUAUUCAAAAAGCAAAUUCUGCAAUAUCGGUAAAAUAAAUGUAUCCAGAGAAUGAAGAACAUAGUUGAAGACAUAAAUUCAUCAGAAAGUUCAACCAGGCUUAAAACCUAAAACUCUGUCGACUAUAAUUCACCAAAAAGGUACAUUCAACCUCAUUGAACUAAAUAACAACUUAACCAUCCUUUUGAGACUGGUUUUAUCCAGAAACAACCCCAUGCUUCAUAAACCAUAUCUCAUACAAAGAUGAGUUACACGACCCAUCCAGAUAAGUUAUAAGCACCAAAACGUAUAAUGAAUAAAACAGGCACCUUGUCUGUUGGUGAAAGAGGAAAUCCGUGUAUUCACAUAAAAGUUUCAAGACAUGACAAUAUUAAAUUUUACCAAUGCAUAACAGGUCAAAAAGACGAGUCUGGAAAACAAGACUAGAGAUAUGAGGGCAGUAUAUUUGCAAGGUGCAUGCUAACACUUAUCACUCAUUUGCUGUUCUGUUAUUCGUGUUUAUAUGUGACUAUUGCUCAUAACAUUGGAAUCCCUUUGAUAUUCAGAAGAAAAAGAAGGUGACUAUGUGACUAUUGCUCAUAACAUUGGAAUCCCUUCAAGUCCAGUGUAUGCUAAGCCUUCUUUUGCCAACUGGAGCUACUCUUUACUUCAAUUCUGGUAAAAAGAAGAAAAAGAAGGUGACAAGGCUUGACAAAAUAUCCAUCAAGUAGAAAACUGGACUAAUUCGUAGAUUUGCUCAGUCAGUAGUAAAUGCAGACUUCCUCCCUUAAAUUGCUUCUAUCAAUUAAAGAAAAUGCCUAAAAUGAAAAAGUAUGACCAAUGACAUAGUUGACAUAACUUUAUGAGUAUACCGCAUAUUGAUUAAAAACUUUUUAAGUGACGAGCAUCAAUUGGCUUUUCAGCAGCAAAUGAAAGUACUUCAAAUGCACGGGUAUACCAAAAUUUAACUUCAACUGGUCAUGUCAUAGAAACUUACUGGUACUACCAUUGCUUACAUCCAUAAAAAGACGGACAUGCUUAAUAUCUGUGCUCUAUCUUCAUGGUGUUUUUACAUGAUAAGUAUCAACUAAAUGACUUGAUUGCUGUCUGUUCAAAUAAUUGAUCGUAGGACCUUGACUGACUUCUUUUUUUGGCUGGUGAAAUAUGCUGGUUGGUUCUUGGAAGUAGAAGAUUCUAUAAUUGUAUACUUAUGGACCUCUUAUACAUCUGAAAAACGUCAGAGAAUAAGCAAGGUAUUUUUUUGAUAACAAAGAAAUAGUAAACAAAUUCUAUGAUUAGCAUGGAACAUGAAUCAUGGAUGCACCAAAUUAGAAAGAUGACCCAUAUAUAAGGCCAUGCUCCCAUGUGCUAAAGUAUAAGAAGGCCUACCUGCUGCCAAUAUUUCACCAUCUCACAUGCAAGCCUUCGCUUUACUGCUAGGGUGGCCUUAGUGCUAUCAAUUGCAAGUCCAAGUUGGAUAUCAACCCCCUAAAGAGAAAUCAGACAAAUAUUAUAUGAUCCAAUCGAGAAACAUUUGCCACAGGGAUUAGGGAAAUAAAAUUUCUUGUUUACAUUAUCAGCUGAUUGACAAUAAAACCAAAAUUAUACUCAAUUCGAGAAGCCCUUAGACGAAAAUCUCUAGGAACAAUUGACACUGCACUUGUUUUUAUUAAAAGAACCCAAUGAAGAUAUAGUUUUGUUUCUCCAGUAAAUUCCUCAUUAUACUGGUUGUACCAUUUAAAGAAGCCAAUGAAGCAAAACUAUAUCUAAGAAUAAGUCGUCACUUUUUCAUACCUCACAUGAACAAUAGUACUGUUAGAUUUUUUUUCUAUUUUCAUAUUUGGCCAUAUACCUCCAGAAUUUUAGCUUCACCUAUAUUUAGAAAUUGAUAAAAAGUGACAUGACUAUAUUGAUAUGCUUAUACACACAUUUAGGUUAUGAAGCAAUUUGAUUGUACCAUUUACAAGAGUACCUUUAUCUUUAUAUACAUUGUUGAGAAAUGUCAUCACAUAAUACGAAAAGUUUCAUGGUUAUUAUGCCAUAUUAGUAAUGUUGUCACAUAAUAUUAGAGAAAAGAAAAACAACAUAUGUGACGUUUAUACUUGGUCCUAAUUUGAACUAUCUUAACACUUAGAUAAAAUGAAAAUAGUUAUAAAAUAUGACUGUGGUUCACUUCUCCUUUAUUUUAAAAUAAAUUUUUUUACCCUUUAAUUACAUACAAUUAAAAUAACAACAUAUAGAACAAUAUACAUCUAAACCUCAUAAGAUUAAGUAGUUCAAUUAAAAGUUAGUAGUAAUUACUAUAAAUUCAUUUUAGAUUUAACUUAUAUAACAUAUGUUAGUGGGUGCACAAGUUCUUAAAUUACCAAAAUACUUCUAAAUUUCCAAAAUUUGUGCAUAGAAAUAUAGAGGGGAGGAAUCGCUCAGUGGGGGAAUGUGCACCACUGCCAACAAUGUGGCUCCGCCACUGCUGUCAGGUCAGUUGUAUUUGGGAUGUCAGUUAUUGAGAUUUAGAUGCAAAUUGAUGACAGCAUUAGUACUUUUCCUUGAUGACAGCAUUAGUACUUUUCCUUGAUGACAGCAUUAGUACUUUUCCUUGGAAAUUUGGGGAUUCCAUAUGCCAAACUUUGUGGUAUGAAGCUUAGAAUAUUUGGCUAGGCCAUAUGCAUAAUAAGAUAUCCCUUUCGUAGUGGUGCUGAUUUGCAUUUCAACUCCUUAUUGAUUACUGCUAUUACAUGCCCAACUUGCUUGAUUCUACCAGUUCUUUGCAUUCUUAUACGACUACCAAUUAUGUGUAAUUUGAUGUAGGACUUGUCUAGGCCGUCCAGGAUAACUUAUCUAACAUAGGGUUGGUAUGAGCAUAACCUCAAAAAUCUUACAUGUGCCCAAUAUUGUAAUGUCUCGUGAUUGCAUCAUCACAGGAUCACUAUCAUGAUACAUUAGACACCAUACAGCUGUGGUUUUAAACAUCCCUUAGAGAAGAAAAGCAAAUAACACAAGGCCUUGGAUUAUCUAAGUGACAAGAGCAUUGUAAAGAUGCAUUAUUGGAUUAAGCUUUUAUAAUAAUACGAAUCUCUAUGGCAAGGCUCCUUUGCUAAUAUAAGUAAGAUGUACACUGAAUUAGAAAUACCUGUCCUAAUGCUUGAAGGCAAAGUGAUCGUAAAACUCCUUCUGCAAGGUCUACUGGUAAUUUUCUCCUACAACACAUACGUUGAAAAGAUUAAACUCUUCAAUCUCUCAUGUUGGUUUGAAUUAAAAAAAUGGAACUUAACUGGAAAAGUUAAAGAUUCUAAACCUCAAUUCACUGGGAAACUGUGGGAGAACUUGUCGAACAGCACAAUCAAGAUAUCCGGCUGCUUUUAGGAAGACAUCAAUACAACAUCGUCUGCUCUCUGUUACACAUAAGAAACAGGUUGGUGCACAACUGGGAAUAUCCAUUAGAAGCAUUUGACAGAAAAUAGAUCCAUGGAACAAGUAUGCAAGUAUUUUGACUCCCAAGAGUAGUGACAGAUGCGUCAAACUUCAGGAAAGCAUUCAAAAAUAUUGCAUACAAUCAAUUAUAUGGUGAAGCAUCUUCUGACAUGAUCAUAUGUGAUCAAAGCAUUUGCCAUACCAGAACCAAUAUAGUGCAAUUUAUUUAUUCCAUGGUGCCAUGGCAUCGUUGUUGAUGCUUAGAAAAGGCAUUGAUCCUUCUCAUCAUCUAGUGACAAACACCCAUGAACAACAAGGAAAAUGUCAAAGUAAAAUUUGGACACGGAACAGCUUGCCCAUACAACCAACAAGAAGAAGAAAAAUAGAAGAUUAUAUUGUGACAGAAAUUUUAAAUCUCAAGCUGCAAAAGCAAGGUGUGAAAAGAUCAAAUAGUGAUCAUGCAGUGCCUUGAAAUCAAAUCCCACACUUCACAUUCUUUAUCCAUCAUCAAGAACAUUGAUUUACAUUUCCUACAUGACAACCAGAUAGAACAUGCAAUUGAAGAUUGCAGUGGAUAUAAUUCAGUUUGAACAUUUAACGUCACUUUGCUCGCUAUAGUGGACAAUGUAGUGGCUUUGAUAAAUUUCACUAUUAAGCAGAUUCAUACAUUGGUGAUAACCAUCCAUAAUUGGUCAGACUGACAGGAUUACAUUGCAAAAAGAGAUUCCCCUCAUAUUCACUUGUUAAGGAAAAAAGUCAAUGCAGCAAAACCAAGGGAAAAAAACACAGGAACAAGAGAGAGAGAACUAAACUCAUGGCCAAGGAAAAACUCUAAAUGAUGAAAGAAACAAUUCAGGAUGAAGGGAGACAAAAAUGAAAGAGAGAAAGGGCAAGAAAUUCCCAGAGUGUAGAAAAGAUGUCAAAAGUCUAAAAUAACCCUUAAACAUAAAAUUGAAACAUGAAAAGUACAAAGAGACAAGCCACAAGCUAUGACAGUUAUGCGAUGGCUAGAUGAGAUGGGUGAAUGCGUAUAGUAUGUUUACAAGAGGGGCAAAUUUAGUGCAGAAGGAGGCAUGACAGUGGCACAAGAGAUGAGUGCCAGGACUGGAAAGUGCAUUUUCUGUAACUUAUCGUCCCUGCCUCUGUACUUGUUUUCUUCUAACAACUUGGCCCCUCUCUAGCUUCCUUCCUGUAACUCCUUUAAGUGUUUUGAAUCCUGUUUUGGGUUUUUACUAUGUUUCAGACUUUCUGCAUUUCUUAAAUGUUCUUUUUUUAUUUUUUCACUUUCUGUUUCUUGUGAAUGUAAAAUGAUGAACAAAACCAUUAUUUUAGAAGGUAAAAGUAAGUAACAUUCUACCCAAAAUGUAUACUUUGCCCAUUACCAAGAUUAGUCUAAAAGCUUCAAUCACCUCAAAAAGUAGGGGUAACUCUUUCCCCAAAGGUCAACAUAGUCAAUCCAAGAAUUCAAAGCUUUUGCCGUAUUACAAGAAAAGAUAUUAAACUGAAGGUUUACCUACUCUCUAACUGCUAAUUCAAGCUAAUAA